rnacentral:lncRNA from 1 species
UAAAUUUAUCUGCGUACCGUAUGCUCGUCGAAACAGCAGGGAGGAAACAUAAGGAUAUUUGUCAUGAUUUACUGUGUAAUAAUGCAGGAGCGAUCGCAUGAGUGGUUCUUUUAUGGUUGUAAUUAUUUUAGCAAUUAGGUGUUCGGUUAUUCUUAAUAAAAUUAGAGUCGUGAAACUAGCUCCAUUCGAAGGCACCUCAAAACAUGAACACGCCAAUGCACACGCGCAUACGCACACAAAGCAAACAUUGCGCCUUUUUAAGCGUCCUUUUAAGAGUCCAGUAUAAGAUGUUCCAAAAUCCAAGUAUAGUAGUAGUACUUACCAGUGGAAAGAGAAGAAUGGUAGCUAGUACUUUGUAUUGAUGACUUUCUUAUGUAAGAUGUUAAGAAAUAUGACAUAGAUGAGGUCUGCCAUGACAUAGAUCUGCUGUUAUUUUCAAUUUCGUUGGUUGUCUAAAUCACUUCAUCAGUAGUUAGGUUUGUAUUUUUUCUGAAUACUUUGCAAACCAGUUAGUCUAUGAUUUCGAAUUCUUCUUUCUGAUUAAAUGUGCAUAUUUCUGACCUUAUGUUUGUUGGUUUUGUUAAAAUUUGCAUCUUCGUAUUUCCUUCGCUAAAUUGACAUUUCUUACUAGUUGCAUGGUUUUUUUUUUUCCCCUAAACACUAACAGCACAGCACACGAUGCUUAUGCUUUACUGAAAUUGGUCGCAAAGUUUUUUCUUUCGCACUUUAUCUAUUAUGUUUUUUAUUGCAAAGCUCAUUUUGUGUAGAUUAGUUUUAAGGUUCUUAAUUCCUUAUAAAAGUUGCGAGUAUGAUUUUCCUCGUACUUCUUCUUCUUUUUUCUUUUUUCUUUUUUUUUUUUGAACUUAUAUAUUAGCUGCUUUACGGACAUCUGACACUUUUUAUUAUCUCAUGUGAACAAGACAUGGUCAAUAACUCAACAUUUACUUUUCUCUGUCCUCGUGAAAUAUGCGAAUGGCAUGAGUUUGUACAGCAAUAAGUUGCUCAUCACUAAUUAAUAUCGUAUGAAAGUAUAUAUAGUCCUUUAAGUGGUCUGUAUAACUUUUUGUGCUCAUUAAUAUGUAUGAGAGAGUAAUAAUUCAUACUAGUGUAGGUGCCCGCGCGUCGGCAACCGAUCAUUUCUAUAGAAAUAAAUCAAUAUAUAUAAUAAUUAAUGAAAAUGAUAUCAUAAUUGACUUUCAUUCGUUAAAAUACGUGAAAAAGUCGAAAAGUAGUUACAAUGCAUAAAAUGAUAGCGGAAAGCUCUACUCUAUGUUUAGUUAAACAUGUGGGUCUAAAGAUAUAUUUAUCAUAGUAAUGAAAGAAUAAUAUGAUCAACAAAUACAAAAAGACUUAGAAUUAACUUACUAAUUCCUAUACAUUAUAAUUUACAAACACUCUUUCACUACUAAAUCUUAUAUCUUUAAUGCCCCUUCUUCGAAUAUUUAUAGGGCUUUCAUUAAUUGGCUGUAUCGUCAGAAAUCUUUCUCUUAAUAUAUUAUAGCUCUUAACGCACUGAAAUCCAACAAAAUAAAAAAAAUAACAAAAUUAGAAUAGAUAAGAAAUUUAAUUGAAAAUGUAAAUUACUUAAGAAUAGAAUAAUCACAAAUGCACUUGUCAUUAUGAUGUUAUGAGAUGAAAUAUAUCUAAGUCGCUGAAUAGUAGAUAGAGCAAAAAUCUACAAUGAAAAAUAACAAAGCAAGAAUAACGGAGCAGUAAGCAAAAAUAAGUAGAUAAAAAAAAAAAGAUUCACUGAAUAUGAGCUAGGAUAAUUAGAUUUUCAUCGGUAUUUUUGCACUAAAUACACCAAUUUUAUUCUUGCAAAUCAAUAGUUUGUGAACAAUUAAUAGAAGCAAGAGUUGUCCAUCAUUGCUCAUUUCUUUAUACACACUUAUUAACUGGAAAUUAUUAUUCCAGUGAACCUCCGCCCUUCCUUUUGGUGAAUAAGACCCAUAUUUAAGGCAAAUAGACUAUUGAACUCCAUAUGUAACAUGAAAGCAUAGUAUUAAGUAUAAUCAACAUAGCCAAACUCAGAGAAAUACAAAAAAUCUUUAGAAGAAAUGUCCAACAAAACUUAAUAGGACUUAUAUUUAUGGCAAUUGAGAGACUAACUUAAUUUAAAAAGCAAAAGGAAGCACAUGCUGAGAAAAUUAACUUGGUUAACUUGGCAUAUAUAAAUUCAGAGUACAUUGAUGGAACUAAAAAAGUAAAACUAUCAAAAAACUUAAAACUAAAAUUGCACAUUGUUAGUUAAAAAAAGCUAUAUUGACCUAUUUAUGUAAUUUAAAUGGCAAAAUGCUUAUAAAUUGAAAAUUGAUGAUUAGAAAUGGACUAAUUAUGGAUUACUUUAUUAGCUUGUUUCUUGCCUCUCAACCAACCUCCAAAUGUUGUCUAAAUUGUGAAACCCUCAUAUUCAUUGUCGCUUCCAUUUCAUCAUUGUUGGGCUUUCUAAGCAGAUCUUUGUGCAAGCUCUCAUUCAUCUUAUAAAUUGCCUAUAUUUUAAUGACAUAAAGGAUAUAAAAAAGUCGAUAAUUUGCAAAUAAGCAGUUAAAAAGGUUUUUAAAUUGCGAGUAUGUCUAAUAAAAAUAUAAACUCUUGAAUAGUAAAAUCUCUGUUAAGAAUAACAUUGUAGACAAUAGAGAGAAAAAAAACACGAUCCAUAUUAUUCUCACCUAAAGUGAGAUAUACAAAGUACUCGAUAUAUAUAUUGUUUAAGGAAGAAGAUAAGGCAAUUACAAAGUUAUCAGUGAUCUAAUUUGCCAUUCCAUUAGGAUUUGAGUGAUCUCAUUACAGCUAUAUUACUCAACAAGGAGUAACAAUGUUGGAUUUAUUUUCCACAAUCAAAAUUCUAAGUCUAAACAGAUGUACUAAAACUGUUAUCGACCGGUCUUUUAGCUAACAUGAUAUCUAAGUACUGUUAGUUCCCACCACAUAUAUUUGCUAAUUUACUAUAUUCAGAUCCUUUAAUUCUUCCAUUGCCUUCUGUGACAUCUACAUUGUCUAUGCCUUUGGCAUGGUAUAUAAGAAAAAUAAGCAACCAAAUUUAGUAAAUUUAAUAGAAUGAGAAGUUUGGAGCGGAUAGUCAUGUACAGAUCAAACAACUACAUAGCAACAAUCUUCCCAAGGAGAGAUUGAUUCAGAACUAAGUUGUCUUAUUUUUAAGGAAACAACUGAUUCAAUGAUGCAUUGUUUUUUUUGGAUUAUAAAAAGGCUUCAAAUCUGUACAUGGACUGCAAUAGAAUCCUAGCAGUACAACAAAUUAACUUAAUAAAAGUAUGUUCACCUUCAACCCUGGAUAAUUCUCAUUUGUUGUGUACAUAAAUUUGUGGCACCACAUGUAGAAACUAAAUACUUCCGAAAUUUUUUUUUUUCACAUGAAUCCAGUAACUGGACAAUUCUCAUUUGUUGCAUACAUAACCUUACGAUAGCACUUAUAGAAAUCAAAUACUCCCAAAAAAAAUUUUCUCAUAUCAAUUUAGUAAUUCUUCUGCAGUAAACAAUAAUAUGACAUUUCAACUGAUCCACAAAACUUAAAAUAAAAUACUAAAUCCAUAUCUCCUAAGUUCACAAAAACUAUAAUUUAUGAACUAUAAGAAUGACUUGAAAUGGAAAGAAAUAGAGAAUAAAUGUUAAAUAAGGCCGAAAUUAUAUGUGAUUACACUUUCCUAAAUUAGAUUAUGUAAUUAGGGACUUGAUUUAUGUAACGGCUUGAUUUUAGGGAUGCCUUAGAAUCAAAGUCUAUAUAUAUCCUUGUACCUAAGUUUUUAAAUGAAUAAUAAAAAAAAUGGUACAGUUACUACAUAUAUUGUAACAUGGUAUCAGAGACAAGUUGAACCUGUGCAAAUCUAAAAAAAAAAAAAAAAAAAAUCGACGUCGCCUGCGUCGCCGCCGUCCUCUGACUACUCCGGUCGCUACUGCUCACCAUUGCUUGCCGCUCAGAUCUAUUCAUUGGCUGAUCAAACCGCUUUCGUCGCCGAGAACAAGACCAACCUCAGAUCUAGAUCUGAAACCAAACUUAGAUCUGCCCAGCCAUUUGAAGUCACCGUCAACCUCAUCCUUUUGCCCCUGCUGCUGUCACCAAUCCAACACCGCUCCAUCAACCAUAGCAGUGAUUUUUUCCUCUCAGGUAGCUUCCAAACCUUAAGAAUGCACGAGGUUGAUUCUUCUUCGUAAAGAGAAGAGUUCAAUCAUGUAGAAAUUUGAAGUAUAAUAAAAGAAGAGAGACAAAGAUAUACGUGGUUCGGCCUAUAGCCUACAUCCACGGAGAAGGUAACGACUCUUAUUCUCAUAUCAUGCAUAUGCAAGGUUCACCCUUUAUUUAUACAAAUCAUAGAGAUCUCAAACUAAGGAAAUAAUUUUAAAUAAAAGGAAGUGUAUAUUAGAAAUCAAUCAGUGGUGCCAAAUAGGAAGUGAAUAUCAAUCCUAUUUGGCAACUUAUUUCCAUCACUCCCCCUCAAGUUGGUGCGUAAAUGUCAAUGGAGCCCAACUUGGACAAAAUUUAGUGAAAACGACAUUUAUUCACAGCUUUCGUAAAGAUAUCGGCUAGUUGAUCUUCGCUCCGAACAUAUGGAGUGCUAAUGAUCUUGGACUGUACCAUCUCACGGACAAAAUGGCAAUCAACUUCAAUGUGUUUCGUUCUUUCAUGAAAUACUGGAUUGGAUGCAAUGUGAAUAGCUGCUUGAUUAUCACAGAACAUAGUCAUCGGCUCUUUUGUUUUAAAGCUCAUGUCUUGAAGCAGUGCCUUCAACCACACUAACUCACUUGAAGUGGAUGCCAUAGAUCUAUAUUCAGCCUCAGCACUUGAUCUUGCAACUACAUUCUGUUUUUUACUCUUCCAAGUUACCAAAUUACCUCCUACUAGAGUACAGUAUCCUGUUGUAGACCUUCUAUCAGUCGGAUUUCCAGCCCAGUCAGCAUCAAUAAACCCACUUAUUUCUAUGUGACCUGCCUUUUUCAUCCAAAUUCCUCUACCUGGUGAUGUUUUAAGGUACCUGAGAAUCCUAUCAACAGCUUGCAUAUGACUAGUUAAUGGAUUAUGCAUAUAUUGACUUACCAAGCUAACAGCAUAUGUUAUAUCAGGUCUGGUGAUUGUCAAAUAAAUCAAUUUUCCUGCCAAUUGCUGAAAACGAGUUACAUCUUUGAGGGGUUUUCCUUCCACAAAAUCAAAUUUAUAGUUGCAACCAAUAGGGGUAUCAACUGGUUUCACUGCAAGUUUCCCUGUUUCCUUGAGUAAGUCCAAAGUAUAUUUUCUUUGGCAAAUAAAUAAACUUUUAUUUGAAUAGGCAAUUUCAAUUCCAAGAAAAUAUUUGAGUUUUCCAAGAUCCUUGAUAUCAAAUGUCAUUUUAAGAUAACUUUUGAGUUUUGAAAUCCCUUCGAAGUUGCUACCCAUAAAAACAAUAUCAUCAACAUAAAUCAAAACAAUUAUGAUACUGGUGUUAUCCGUCUUAACAAACAUAGAGGAAUCAGCAACACUUCGUUUAAAGCCGACUUGAGUAAGAGCUGAACUAAGUUUUGCAUACCAUGCGCGUGGGGAUUGUUUGAGACCAUAUAUAGCUUUAUUCAAUUUACAAACAAGAUUUUUUUGGUGUUGACUUUCAUGACCUGGAGGAAGAUCCAUAUAAACUUGUUCCUCAAGAUUUCCAUGCAAGAAGGCAUUCUUAACGUCCAUUUGAAAAAGCGGCCAGUCGUGAUUCACGGCAACAGAAAGAAGAACUCGAACAGUGCUCAUUUUGGCUACUGGAGCACAGGUUUCUUUGUAAUCAACUCCAUAAGUUUGAGUAAACCCUUUAGCUACUAAUCUUGCCUUAUGUCUUUCAAUUGAUCCAUCACUAUUGUAUUUAAUUUUAUAAACCCAUCUACAUCCUAUGGCCUUUUUUCCAAUAGGUAACUCGACCAAGUCCCAAGUAUGGUUUUUCUUCAGUGCACGAAGUUCUUCUUUCAUUGCUUUUUUCCACACUGGUUGGGAGUUAGCAUCUUGAAAACUAGUUGGUUCCAUAUUAUUAGAAAUGGAACUAAGAAAGGCUGAACAACUGGAAGAAAUUUUGUCAUAAAGAAUGUGAUUUUGUAGAGGAUAGGAAGAAGCAUGAUAGGUAUAAAAACCUUGCAAUCUAGAUGAAGGGCGAGGAAUUUGAGAUGACCUAUGAACAUUGGAGAUCUGUUGGACUUGUUCAGACUGAGUGGCAAUGUCAGUAGGGCCUUUGUCAUCAUCUUCGACAUUAUUCUGGCCUUCGACGCCUUGAACUUCAUGUUGUUUCUCAUUGCUGAUUUGUACUUCACUAAUUCUUGUAUUUGAUCCAUCAUAAGGUAAUGGUGUGAUCCCGGCUUCUUUGUAAUUCUCCCCCUGAAUGCUAUUCUCUCUGUUCUCAUUAAAAUAAGCUUGAUUUUCAGAAAAAACAACAUCUCUUGAAACAAACAAUCUUUUCUUUGCUGGAUCAUAACAUUUAUAACCUUUUUUUGUAGAGGAAUAACCAAGAAUUAAAUAAGCAUUUAAUAGCACGUUUGUCAAGCUUAUCUCUAUUUUGCUCAUUAAUGUGAACAUAGCAUACACAUCCAAAAAUGCGUAAAUGAUUCAGGUCAAUAUUCCUUCCCUUCAAGAUCUAAAGAGGAGAUUCAUUAUUAAGCACUUUACUUGGUAACCUAUUAAUUAGGUAACAAGCUGUGAGUAUAGCGUCAGACCAAUAAGUUUUAGGAACAUGCAUUUGAAACAUUAAGCAUCUUGUAACAUCUAGUAAGUGUAUAUUUUUCCUUUCAGCAAUCCCGUUCUGUUGAGGUGUACCGACACAAGUCGUUUGAUGUAUAAUCCCAAGAUUAGAGAGAUGUUCACAGAAACAUUUGUUAUAAUACUCUUUUCCAUUAUUAGUUCUCAAAACUUUAACCUUUGCAUUAUAUUGAUUUGAAAUCAUAUUAAGAAAAUCUUUAAAGGCAGUAAAAACUUUAGUUUUGUGCUUCAACAAAUAAAUCCAAGUACACCGAGAAUUAUCAUCAAUGAAACUGACAAAGUAUCGAAAACCAUCACGAGAAUCAAUAGGUGCAGGACCCCAUACAUCGGAAUGCAUUAAACUAAAGAGUUCAUCAGAUUUUUUCAUAAACAGUUGAAACGGCAGUCUAGUUUGUUUAGAAAAUUGACAAACAUCACAAGCAUCAGAAUUAGAAGAUAUAGAAGGUAUCAAAAUACUUAAAACUUUGUCAGAAGGAUGACCCAUUCUACUGUGCCAUAAGCUGAAAUUUUCAUGCAGUCCUUUUUUUGCUACCAAAACUUUACUCUUUUGAUCAAACAAAUAAAGGCCUUGGUGGAAUUUUCCUUCACCAAUCUUCUUCCCCGUGGUUCUGUCCUGAAAAAUUACCGAAUAAGGUAUGAAGGUAACAUUGCAAUUUAGAUCUUGGGUAAGUUUACGAAUAGAGAGUAAAUUGGAUGGAAAAGAUGGCAUGAAAAGAACAUCUGAUUUGUGAGAUUCAGAAAAGAAACUAGUCUUUCCAACUCCCUGCACAGGAAUUAAUGAUCCAUUUGCAAUUGAAACAGGAUUUCUGCAGAUGGAAUCUUGGUAGUGUGAUAAGCAAUUCAAAUUACCGGUCAUAUGAUCAGUAGCACCGGAAUCAACGACCCAAGUUGUGUUAUCAGAAAUUAAUGCAAUGGAGUUACCUGAUUCGUUUGCUGCUGUAGAAGAGUUCUAAGUGGAGGGUGAUGUGGAGGACGGUACAGAUUUGCUAAGGUGUUGAAGGAGCUGAGUGAGCUUUUCAACAGAGAUAUGAGUUUCCGAAGAAGCAACUUGAGCUAUUGGUCUAUUAUCAUUAUCUCUACCUUUGCUCUUGUAAGGUUUCAAGUGAGGAUGUAAAACCCAACAUCUGUCUUUAAUAUGACCUAUAGCAUUGCAAUGAUCACAUCUGGGUGGAGGUCUUCCACUUUGCCCUCUGUUUCUACUAGUACCCUUUGCAUCAUUAUGAAAAGGCUUCUUAUACUCAUUCUUUUCUUUCAAGGCAGCAAAAGCACUAGUUUCAGAGAACUCACUUUGAUGCUUUGGUUCUAAAUUCAUAGCCUUUUUUCUAGUCUCUUCACGUUGUAUAAUAGCACAAACACUAUUAAGAGAAGGAAGUUCCAGGCUCAUCAAAAUUUGGCUCUUCUAAGACUCUCAUAUUCCGGUUUUAAAUUAGCAAGAAGUUGAAAAAUCUUUUCCUCCUCAGAACAUUUUUGGAGAGUCUUUAAAUCAGUAAUUAGAGGUUGAUAAAGAUUUAAUUCAUCCCACAUAGCUUUAAGAGUGCCCAGACGCUCAAUAAAAGACUUAUCUCCUUGCUUUGCCCUUGUAAUAUCAUGCUUUAACUCAAAUAUUAGGGAUGCAUUAUUUUGUUGACUAUACAGAGUUUUAACAGAAUCCCAAAGAUCUUUAGCAGUUUCAAAAACGUAAAAAUUUCAGCAAUUCUGGGUUCCAUUGAGUUUAGGAGCCAUGUCAUAACUAAGUGAUUAUUGGAUUGCCAUUCUUCAAAGGAAGGGUCAUCAAUAUUUGGGGGCACCUUUUUGCCAUCAAUAUAUCCAAGUUUUGACUUUCCACCAAGUGCAAUAGAAGCAGCUCGUGACCAAGUUACAUAAUUAAAACCAUUAAGAAGAACAGUGGUGAGUUUCAUACCAGUAUUGGAAUCGGACUCAUGAGAAACAGAUUUUGAGGAAGCCAGAAUAUUGUUAACAUUACCAUCCUCAGCCAUAUGUUAAUACCAAAGAGAUAUAAAGAGGAAGAAUAGUACCAAAUAAAAUAGUGCUUGAAAGAGCCAACACAAUGUUGAAGAUGACUCUCAAAAGCAGAUUUACUGCAAUCUUCUACAGCACCAAAGAAACAAUUGGAUCGAAACACCGCUCUGAUACCAUGUAGAAAUUUGAAGUAUAAUAAAAGAAGAGAGACAAAGAUAUACGUGGUUCGGCCUAUAGCCUACAACCACGGAGAAGGUAGCGACUUUCUCUUAUUCUCAUAUCAUGCAUAUACAAGGUUCACCCUUUAUUUAUACAAAUCAUAGAGAUCUUAAACUAAGGAAACAAUUUUAAAUAAAAGAAAGUGUAUAUUAGAAAUCAAUCAGUGGUGCCAAAUAGGAAGUGAAUAUUAAUCCUAUUUGGCAACUUAUUUCCAUUACUCUUAUUUCCAUCAAUGUUGCUUAAAAAAAAAAAUGAGUGAAGAAAAUCUUGAAUCGGCUAAGAUUAAAUCCGUUCCAGUUGUAAUUCAGUCCGAAGGCGUUUUUAAUGCCGGAAUCAUCCUAACUGAAUCAAAUUACGAUAUAUGGUCUCAACUGAUGGAAAUACAAAUUGCCAAAAGAGACAAGAUCUCAUAUAUUCGUGGCAAGACCAAGCCACCUGCAAAAUCUGAUGAAGGCUAUGAAAAAUGGUAUGCUGAGAAUCAAAAGGUCAAACAGUGGCUAUUAAUGUCUAUGUCUCCCGAUAUUAUGAGGCGUUAUUUACGCUUACCUACAGCCCACAUCAUCUUGACUGCCUUGUCCACGGCAUUCUAUGAUGGAAGUGAUGAGUUGCAGGUCUUUACUCUGAAUCAAAAGGCUUUUUCUGCAAGACAAAAUGGGCAAAUCCUCUCUGUGUAUUAUGGAGAAUUAACAGAACUCUUCCAAGAGUUGGACCAUCGUGAUAAGGUGGUUAUGAAAGAUUUUGAUGAUGUCAAAACUUACCGCCAAUCUAUUGAACGAUUAAGAGUUCAUAUUUUUCUUGCUGGAUUAGAUGAUGCCUUUGAUUCAAUCUGACGUGAGAUUUUGCGAAAAGACCUAGUACCAAACUUGGAGGAAUGUUACUCAUUAGUUCGACGGGAAGAAGUACGGAGUAUCACCUUGAAAGGUGAUUCUAGAGCAUCUGAACCUAGUGCCAUGGUGGCUCGGAAUCGACCUAGUCAGGGUCAACAACCUCGAGCACAACCUAACACUGGUAGAUGGACCAAAUAUGUUGACAGGUCUUCAUACAAGUGCACUCCUUGUCAUAAGACUGGCCAUACCAAAAGUGGCUGUUUUGAACUGGUGGGCUAUCCAGAAUGGUGGGAUCCUAGUUGCGCGAAGAAAAAUCACCAAAAACCUUCCACUGCAGCAGUUGCCAAAACAAAAAUGGAGGAUGAAAUCACUCACAACGCCUCGGCAUUGGUAAUUGCUGCAGACAAUGGUGGUAAGGUUUUAAAUAUUUUAACACCUGUUUUGAAUAAUGCAUGGAUAAUUGAUUCUGGUCCAACAGAUCACAUGACAUAUGAUUCUAGGCAAGUGUAACGUAUCGAAACCUCGAUAGCGAUUAUCGAACUUUAGCCAAAUUAGUUAAAGUGCCGAGAGAAAUGGAUAGACAAAGUCCGGUUGACAUUCCAACAAUGUUCGAAGGGUCAAAGUCGACUCCCGAGAGUGUUAAGCAAGUUUUAGCAUUGCUCGGCGCGAUUUAAAAGUGAACAAUGCGAAAGAAAUAGUUGGGUAUGUUCCAUUAAGCGUUCCAACAAUGUUGGAAGGGUUAAAAAGGAAUUUUAAAAGAGUUAAAAGGGUUUUAGCAUCGACCGGCGCGAAAUAGAAUCGAAAACGGCGCAAAACCAACAUUCUGGGUAAAGUGUACCGGUACAACCAUCGAGUUGUCACCGGUACAGCCUUGCAGACCGAGAAGAUUUUGCUCUCGGGUUUGAGUUUUGGCAGAAAUGUAUCGGUACACCGUUGGUGUGUACCGGUACACUGUGGUAAAAUUCGUGGAGGCUGCUCUUGGGUUUGCCUCUGCGUAAUCGUGUUACCUGUGACAGAGUCUCGUGUACCGGUACACUUUGGUCUGGCAACAACAAUAAGGUCUGUUGCAAAUAGGAAUAUUUGGGGGGGUUAGUUGCAAUUGUAGCAUACCAUAUAUACCCCCAAACACCUCCCUCACAGCAGCAGCCCCUUCUCUCCUCUCCACUUCAUUUUCCUCUCUCUCUCUCUAGAGAUUGUGCCCUAGAGCAAGGAGGAGAAGGCUUGGAAGGCAUUGAAGGUGGAUUUUGGAGGUUUUGGUGGUUCUAGAAGCUCUCCAACAAGGAGGACUCGGCAGAGCUUGGGACUAGAGGUAAGUUCUUGCAAGAUUACUUCUAGGGUUUGGUUUUAAAUCCUAAGUUUUAGAGUUUUGAGCUUCUUAGAGGCUUUAAAAACCCUUUAGGGCCAUGAACACCAUGAAACCCAUGGGAGCUUCAUGUGCUCUAAUGGUGAACACCUAGGGUUUAAAGUAGAUGCUCUAGGGAUGCUUGGAAUGGCUUUGUGAUGAUAUUAGAAUGCUUCCUAGUUGAUUCUAAGCUAGCUUUUGCUUAGGAAUGAGAUCAAUCUAGGAGAAAACCCUAUAUGACAUUGUCAGGGCAUAGAAUUUGGGGCUUUUGCCCUAGGGAGUUUCUAAGACAAAUUGACCUUGUAGAAACCUAAUUGGGGGUAUUUCCGACACGUUGGGCAACUCGGUUCGACAUUACGAAAAGGUCUAGAUAAAGUUAUUGAGAAAAAGCCAAAUUUGGCAUCGUUUUGCCGCAGACGAAAAAGUAGAUCUUCAAAAAUUCUAAGAAAUUCACCGUAGCACCUUUGCAACCAUACAAGAUAGGUGGUGCAUACCGAAGACCUCAAAAUUCCUUUUAUGUCUAAAGUAUCAUAUUUGAGCAUUUGUAUGUAUUGAGCAUAUUGCAUAGUAGGGUUAUUGUGAGCUUCUUAUUGCAUAUUGUGAGUUCAAAUGCGUGUGAAAUACAAGUGAGAAUCUAUAAACCCUAUGUAUGCAUGAAAAAUGACAAGAACUUAGUGGAUUAGAGAACAAGUGUGACAUGUUGACAUAAAGAUAGUGAGUGACAUUGAAGAGCCAAGAAUACUAGAGUUGAACACCUAGAAAACAAGUGUGACAUGAGCAAAUGAGUACCAAGAACAAGGUAGUGUGUAUGACACUAGUGUAAGUCAAAGAAUGCAAGUGAAAAAAGAAAGUAACAUUGUGACAUUAUGACAUAGCAACCUUAGAGUUAAGGGUCAUAUGUACAUUGUUUCCUUAUAGUUAAGGAAUGGAUUGAACUUGACAUCCUUAUAGUUAAGGAUUGGAUCAUACUUACCUGUAAGUCCUUGCUCCAGGGUAGUAGCUCCCCUUCGGGCGAUGUGCUCCAGAGUUGUCAUCACUGGGUCGUAGUAGUCUCCCCAGAGGACGGUCCCGUCGAGUGUAGUAGUUUUCCCGAUACUUGGGAUUUGAGUUGGUGAGUCUAUUGAGGGCGAAACCUACGGGCUAGCCAAGAGAUUGGGUAAUGAAACUAUGAUCUUGCAUUCAUCAUUAGUAUUCUAUCGAGCAUCGCAUUACUUAUUGUUCAGGCAUAUUAGCUGCAUUUGUUUAGUUAGUUACUAUCUAUCUGUUCUUCUAUUAUGCCUGAUUUAGACCUAGUGGGAAAGUCGGCGUGGUUGGUUGCCGAACCCACUGGAAACUUUAUUGUAGUUCUAACCCCACUAUUUCCACAGAGCCUGAAUUGAGCGAGCCGGCAGAUGAUCUUGGUAAGGGUAUCGCACCCUAGAUAGUGACCGCCCGAGAUAUUUUACAUUUUGUAGUUGCAUACCCCGUUUAUAUAUAUAUCAUCUUUUGUACUUUGAUGAUGAUUAGGGAUGUUAGAGCGAAUGUAUUAAAGAUACCUUAUGAUGUUAAAUGCAAAGGUUUAUUUUGGAGAUUUGAGAUGUAUAAAAGAAAUGAUGCAAAGAUUGUAAAAGUACUUCGAAGUUGAAUACAUGUAUGUGAUUAAUUUAAUAAUAGUACUUGUAUGUUGAUUAGUUAGUACUUUCACUUUGGCUAUUGCUUGCCGUCGUGCAAGCCAUCAUGUAUGCUUCCGCAAGUGCAAAUUUUCAUACUCCAUCUGUAUCUAUUGUUGAGCCUUGGGCGGACAGGGGAGGCUCUGUCCGUUCGGCGUCUGUUCGACGCGCUCGAACCGGCCAAAAGGAUCGGGCUCGGGGCGUGACAGAUAUAAUGGUAUCAGAGCGUAAAGAGCCAAAAAGUGAAAGUUUAGAAUGGACCCAGAGACCCUUAGGAAUGGAAAACCUUAAGGAUCUAGGGAACGUAGUGACGUGGAAUCGAAAUAUAGCGAAAGCUUAUGAUUGGGUGAAUGGCGAUAUGUCUCUAAUGUGAUUAGGGACUAAAUUUAAGUUGAUAUUUGUUUUCUUUUCCCUUGUGUUGUGAUCGGCGGCCGACAACAUGAUGCUUGGGAGUGAAAAUAAAUGCACUUAUAUGCUUUCGCCGGAUUGGGUAAAUUCGAGUAAGUUGGUUAAGUAACUAAUGUAAUUGCUUCAUUUCAGGAAGCAAUGCCGCCUCGUGGUCAACCUAAGAUGCCCCGUGGUCGACCGCGAACGAGGUCUAUGGCCGAGGAGCCAAGUGUGACUGCCGCGCAACCCGGAGCAGGUGGCGACGAAGAGCUUCGGGAGCAGAUGGCCGCGCUUAUUGGCGUAGUGCGGCAAUAGGUGGAGUCUGUUCAGUGCCAAAGGGAGCAAAUCCAAAGGCUCCAGGAGACCUUGGAGCGGCAGCAGAUGGCGGCGGCGGCGCCCUUGGAGGCCGUGCACCCUGCGCCCCCUACAGUGGUGCCGACCGCGACCGAGGGUGUGGCCGCUGCGGCCGUGCCAGUCACGAUGGUGCCGGCCGAAUCGGGGACUUCAAAUCCCAAUAGUGCGGCGGUGGAGGCGGAGCGGGAGCGUGCGUUAGCGGCUCUCGUACAGUUCAACAAGUUCAACCCACUUAUCUUCGAAAGGGGAGUGGUGGAACUGGCGGUUAUGAAGUCAUGGAUUGACUCCAUAGAGAUGCUCUUCGAGGACUUAUAUACCUCGAAGAAGGACAAGGUGUACCUCGCCACACAUUGCUUUGAGAAGGCGGCGAAGGUGUGGUAGAAGCGAGUUAGGCGGGAUCGAUCUCCCGAUCUUCCGCCUAUGUUGUGGGAGGAGUUCAAGAAGGCGGUGUUCGCCAAUUAUUUUCCCGACACGGUGAAACGAAAGUUGCAAGAAAAAUUCCGCAAGUUGAGGCAAGGGGAUCGUUCCGUGGCGGACUACGAGCAGGAGUUCUCCCACCUUAUCGAUUAUGUCCCGGGGGUUGUUCGCGAUGACCGGGACCGGGCUAAUUGGUUCUUGCGAGGACUUCGGCCGGAAAUUUAUAGGGCCGUGCAAAUCCUUAAGUUUACGACCUUUGCUGAGGUCUUUGAUCGAGCCUUGUGGGCGGAGCAUGGCUAUGCCCACGAAUGCGAGGAGCGCGAGUCUGCAGCCGAGGUAAGGGACAAAGGAAGAAGCGGGCGGCGGGUGGCACCGGGGGCUGGCCAAAUGCUAAGAAAACCCUCGAUAUCCCGGACAGCAAUCGAAGAACUGGAAGCCUCCCCGGUGCGUUAUUUGCGGAGGCGAGCAUCGACCGUCGACUUGCCCGCAAAGCGAAGGAAAGUGCUUCAAGUGCGGUUAGGCGGGACAUAUGAUACGGGAGUGCCCGAGACGGGCGUCGUCUGCACCGACGGCGGCGUCAGUUCCUUCCACCCUGAGGCAGCUUGCGGGGUUGCCCCGAGCUAUGUCGGCUAGAUGCUCAUCUACAUCGCGUCAGCCGAAGGCAUCUAGAGCACCGAGUGGGCGGGUUUUUGCCACUCAGGUGGAGGAGCCGAUUCCAAUCCCCGACGAUGUCGUGGCAGGUAUUAUUUUGAUCCGAGGCACUAGAGCUAGAGCUUUAUUCGACACAGGUGCAUCGCAUUCAUUCAUAAGUGCAUCAUUUGCAAAAGCUCAUGACAUAGAAAUCACACAUAACGAGGAUUAUUGGUCGAUGAAUACACCAGAGCAUUCGUUCCGUGUUCAUGACGAGUGCUUGGCUUGUCCAGUACAGAUUGGUUAUUGGGUUAUGCCGAUAGACCUAUUGGUGUUAAACCAAAUGUAGGGCUUCGAUGUGAACUUGGGGAUCGAUUGGCUCUCCAAGUAUUAUAUCGUGAUAGAUUGCAAAAGUAAAGUGAUCAUGUUCCGUGAGCCUAAUCAAGAAGAGUUAGUAUACCGGGCGUGUAAAAGCAAGCGCUUCGCGGCAACUGUAUCGGCGGCGAGAGCGAGGAAAAUGAUUAAGGGAGGAUGUGUAGCCUACUUGGCGACAAUGGUAGAAGCCCAAAAGGAGCACCGAGAACUUAGUGGUAUUCGAGUCNGUUCCGUGAGCCUAAUCAAGAAGAGUUAGUAUACCGGGCGUGUAAAAGCAAGCGCUUCGCGGCAACUGUAUCGGCGGCGAGAGCGAGGAAAAUGAUUAAGGGAGGAUGUGUAGCCUACUUGGCGACAAUGGUAGAAGCCCAAAAGGAGCACCGAGAACUUAGUGGUAUUCGAGUCGCGUGCGAGUUUCCGGAUGUAUUUCCGACGGAGUUACCGGGAUUGCCACCCGACCGGGAGAUCGAGUUCGUCAUUGAUUUGAUUCCCGGGGCAGCGCCAAUUUCAAAAGCUCCGUAUAGAAUGGCACCGGCGGAGCUAAAGGAGCUUAAGGCACAAUUGCAAGAUUUGCUCGAUAAAGACUUUGUGAGGCUGAGUGUGUCACCGUGGGGAGCUCCGGUGCUAUUUGUUAAAAAGAAGGAUGGCACACUUCAACUCUGCGUAGACUACCGCGAGUUGAACAAGGUCAUAGUUAAGAACAAGUACCCGUUGCCGAGGAUUGAUGAUUUAUUCGAUCAGUUGCAAGGGUCGAAGGUGUACUCGAAGAUAGACCUUCAGUCGGGGUAUCAUCAGUUGAAGAUACGACUCAAGGAUGUGCACAAAACGACGUACCGUACGCGGUAUAGCCACUACGAGUUCACGGUAAUGCCGUUUGGGCUUACUAAUGCCCCGGCGGUAUUCAGGGACUUAAUGAAUCGAGUCUUCCGUCUGCUAUUGGUUGAUGACGUAUUAGUAUAUUCUCGAACCGAGGGAGAACACGAGGAGCAUUUGAGGAUCGUGUUGGAGACACUCCGAAAAGAAAAGCUAUAUGCAAAAUUAAAGAAGUGUGAAUUUUGGCUUUUGGAGGUUACUUUCUUGGGUCAUGUUAUAUCUGGUGAUGGCAUCUCGAUAGACCCAAAGAAAGUUGAGGCAAUUAAAGAUUGGCCUCGCCCGACGAGUGUGUCGGAGGUCUGCAGUUUUCUUGGACUAGCGGGCUACUAUCGGCGGUUCGUGGAGGGGUUCGCCAAAAUAACUACUCUACUAAUGUGCCUUACACACAAGGGAGUGAAAUAUGUGUGGAGCGACGAUUGCGAUCGAAGCUUUAAGGAGUUGAAGGAAAGGUUGACGACGACCCCGGUGCUUGCAUUGCCGACGCCGGGGGAGACCUUUGUGGUAUACAGUGAUACUUCCUAUGUCGGUCUCGGGUGUGUCUUGAUGCAAAACGGCCGAGUUAUAGCUUAUGCCUCGCGCCAAUUGAAAACUUAUGAAAAGAACUACCCGAUUCAUGACCUCGAGCUAGCGGCAGUUAUCUUCGCGCUAAAGUUAUGGAGGCACUACUUGUAUGGUGAACAUUGCGAGAUCUACACGGAUCACAAAAAUCUUAAAUACUUGUUCACCCAAAAGGAGCUGAAUAUGCGACAAUGGCGGUGGUUAGAAUUAUUAAAAGACUAUGAUGUCACUAUCCUAUACCACCCCGGAAAAGCAAACGUCGUGGCCGAUGCACUUAGUAGAAAAUUGGGAGAAAACAUGGCUUCGGCAAUUACACCCCAAGCAUUAUUGCAAAAGGAGAUGCAACGGCUUGGAUUAGAAGUAGUAGCGCCAGGAGUGCCGGCUACACUUGCUACCUUGGUGGUGCAACCGACCUUGUUGGAGAAGAUAAAAGAGUUGCAAGCUUCCGACGAGUUUCUCCAAAAGGUGCGCAGUGAAGUUGAGAGCGGUAGUGCCGAUGAUUUUGGCAUUGGGACCGACGACACACUUUGAUUCCGAAAUCGUUGGUGUGUAUCUAAGAACAAGGAUCUUCGCAAGGGGAUUAUGCAAGAGGCGCAUCAAUCUCAUUAUAACAUCCACCCGGACGGCACCAAAAUGUACCAAGGUUUGAAAGCCUACUAUUGGUGGCCGGACAUGAAGAAAGAUAUUGGGGAGUUCGUGGUACAAUGUCUUACGUGCCAACAAGUGAAAGCGGAGCGGCGGUUUCCGGCAGAGAAAUUGCAAACUUUGCCUAUACCGGUUUGGAAAUCGAAAAAUAUCGCUAUGGAUUUCGUGACCGGUUUGUCUCGAUCUCAAGGUGGACACGACGCAAUCUGGGUGAUAGUAGACCGGUUGACGAAGUCGGCGCAUUUCCUACCGAUUCAUAUUACAUGGUCGAGGGACAAGUUGGCUCAAGAAUACAUCGACGAGGUUGUGAGACUUCAUGGUGUUCCGGUAUCAAUUCUAUCGGACCGGGACCCGACAUUCACAUCUCACUUUUCGAGGAGCCUACAGGAGGCAUUGGGCACAUGACUCGACUUUAGCACGACAUUUCAUCCUCAAAGUGAUGGUCAAUCGGAGAGGACGAUACAAAUACUUGAGGAUAUGCUUCGAGCAUGUGUACUUGACUACAAGGGCGGUUGGCAUGAUCAUCUACCGAUGGCGGAGUUCGCGUACAAUAACAGUUAUCAAGAAAGUAUCGCGAUGGCGCCAUUCGAGGCCCUUUAUGGAAAGAAGUGACGCUCCCCAAUUCAUUGGAGCGAUGUGGGCGAGAGAGUUACUCUUGGCCCGGAUGUAGUGCGGUAGGCGGAGAUGAAAGUUCGCCUCGCUCGCCAACGACUUGCUACCGCGCAAUCUCGGCAAAAAAGCUAUGCCGACAAUCGAAGAAAGGAUAUCGAGUUUGCGGUUGGCGACCGCGUAUUCUUAAAAAUAUCGCCAAUGCGAGGAAUAAAACGUUUUGGAAUUCGAGGGAAACUACGUCCCCUUACCUUGGACCGUUUGAGAUAUUAGAGCGGGUCAGCACGGUGGCGUACAAGAUAGCACUACCACCGAGACUUGCGGGAGUGCACAAUGUGUUUCAUGUAUCGAAUCUCCGCAAGUAUAUUCAUGACCCCGAGCAUGUCCUCUCGUUUGAACCGUCUGAGAUUCAAGAGGAUAUGACUUACGAGGAGUUCCCGGUAUUCAUCAUCGACCGAGAAGUAAGAAAACUACGGAACCAUCAAAUUCCGUAUGUUAAGAUCCGUUGGUGCAACCACGAUGAUCGAGAAGCCACUUGGGAGCUCGAGAGCGCGAUGCGGGAGCAUUAUCCCCAUCUCUUCGAGAAUCUGGAAUAAGGUAUGGAUUUGGAUUUUAAUCAAGUUAGUUUCAUGGAUGAAACUAAUUUUAAGGGGUGGAGAAUGUAACGUAUCAAAACCUCGAUAGCGAUUAUCGAACUUUAGCCAAAUUGGUUAAAGUGCCGAGAGAAAUGGAUGGACAAAGUCCGGUUGACAUUCCAACAAUGUUGGAAGGGUCAAAGUUGAGUUCCGAGAGUGUUAAGCAAGUUUUAGCAUUGCUCGGCGCGAUUUAAAAGUGAACAAUGCGAAAGAAAUAGUUGUGUAUGUUCCAUUAAGCGUUCCAACAAUGUUGGAAGGGUUAAAAAGGAAUUUUAAAAGAGUUAAAAGGGGUUUAGCAUCGACCGGCGUGAAAUAAAAUCGAAAACAGCGCAAAACUAGCAUUCUGGGCAAAGUGUACCGGUACAACCAUCGAGUUGUCACCGGUACAGCCCUGCAGACCGAGAAGAGUUUACUCUUGGGUUUGAGUUUUCACAGAAAUGUACCGGUACACCCCUGGUGUGUGUACCGGUACACUUUGGUAAAAUCCGUGGAGGCUGCUCUCGGGUUUGCCUCUGCGUAAUCGUGUUACCGGUGACAGAGUCCCGUGUACCGGUACACUUUGGUCUGGCAGCAACAAUAAGGUCUAUUACAAAUAGGGAUAUUUGGGGGGGUUAGUUGCAAUUGUAGCAUACCAUAUAUACCCUCAAACACCUUCCUUCACAGCAGCAGCCCUUUCUCUCCUCUCUACUUUAUUUUCCUUUUCCUCCUACCCACUGGAACAACUUUCCAUGCAGCGCUAGGGCACACAUUCAUUGGCAUGAAUCCAGUCACGCCCAAGCAAUAAAUUGUAAUGGCUAUCUGCAUCCACUACAAAAAAUUUUGUUCUUAAGGUUUUAGAUCCUACCGUAACCUCGGUUGUGAGCACUCCUCUGGCUUGUUCACUGUUUCCGGUGAAGUCGGUCAUAAUUGUGUCGGUAGGCUUCAACUCGUCUUCGCUCUUGCCUAGUUUUUUGAAAAAUGAAGUAGGUAUGACGUUGACCAUUGCUCCACCGUCCACCAUGACUCGGCCUACUGGCCGUCCCUUUACUAAGGCCCUUAUAAAUAAAGGCCUGACAAACCUUGUUUGCAUAAUCGAUGGUUUUUCAAAAACCAUCGAAUCGGCUGGCUUAGAGUCCUCCAACUGCAAUUGGGCCACUGUGACCCCUUCUUCCUCAUCUAUCAUUUCCUCGUACUCAGUAUACUCUUCUUUAAAUGAUUGAGGCAGAGCAUACACCAUGUUCACAUCGACCGGACCUUCGUCAGCCGAUCUUUCUUGUAUUCUCUAUUUCUUUUCUUCAGACUCCCUCGCCAUCUUGGCUGAGGAGUCAUUUUCUAUUCGUGCCUCCCUCUCCUUGGGAGGCCAUUUGUCUCGCUUGAUAAUGGUCUCGAGAGAAGCUAUUUUUUCCUCCAGCUCUUUCCAAGUCACCUUCUCCUCCGGUUCGGCCGUAAUUGGCCGUUCUAUCUUCAAUUUUAACCAAGGAAUGGGCGAUGAACCGCCCGCCUCGUGAUCAUUCCGUAUCGGACGAAAAGGAUGUGGUGGUUCAUUGAGUCGUCUCCACACAUUCAACCUAAUCCCUUUUGCUUCUUCGUAGUGAUGUCUUGCCUCGGCUUGCAACCUCUGUUGCCGACGCUUCUGUGUUUUUGUUAACAUCGGCCCUUGCCAUUUGGCCGAUGGUUUGGCUUCGUGCCAUUGAUCAACUGGCACGUUUGCCGGUACUUUCACCGUUCUCAAAUGAUUCCUCAAAAUUUCUCUUCUUUCCCAUGGUCUCGGCCACGGUUGUAUGCCGAGCUCAUUGACCAAUCUCCGACCGAGGAAUUCUAUAUCCCCCCCGGUCAUCCCUUCAAACUCUGGUUCUGGUCUCAGCCUGGUUUGAUGUUGCCAAUGUGGUCGAUGCCCCGGGAACCUCUGUUUUGAGCCGAAUGGUUUUUCUGGAUAACUCCAUCGGCUAUUGUGUUCCUCUCUCCGGCUGUUGUAAUAAUUAUUUAAAACUUUUUGCAUCAACAAAUCUUUUUUAUUUUGUACCGAGUCGACUUCUGGCUCAGACUCGUUGGAGGCUUCAUCUGAGCCAUCCUCUGAUUUGUUGUCACCUUUGGGAAUUUCUUCCCAUUCCUCCGGGAAUGCCAUGAAUUCCCUCCAUUCAUUAUGUGUUUUCUUCUCGUUGAUGAUUGCUUCCCAAUCUUUCUUGGUUAUUUUGGCCUUACACUUUAUGUAAAGCCGAAGAGUUCUUUUGGAGUAAGUGAUACUUUCGGCGGCCUUCUUGUCCGCGACUGCCUUUCCCUUAACACCUACCAUAUUGACCUGCGAUGGAAAUAGAUUCUUGUCAAUUUUUAUAUUUUUAUUUUCUUGGCCGGCAAAUAUGAGCCGACCUUCAUUUAUUUCUUUUUGAAUCUGCCUUUUAAAAGCAGUACAUUCAUUCGUUCUAUGGCUCCAUGAAUGGUGCCAUUUACAGUAUCUUCUCCUUUUCAAUUCCUCUCCAGAAGGUAUAGUUUGACCCUCCUGUAGCUGAAUUCGCCCAUCCUUUAACAACCGAUCAAAAAUUAAAUUGGUCUUCGAUACAUCAAAUGAAUAAGUAUAUGUUGAAACUCGUGCUUUUGCCUCGCUUGAUUUAGCAGGCUUUAACAAAGCACAUUUAUAUGGCUGGCGAUUUUUUAUCAUUUCUGCCACUUAUAUUUCGGCUUCAUCAGCCAAAUCCUCUGUUUCUUCAGAUGUAUUCGGUUCCUCGUGAACCGAAGAUUCUUUGAGGAAAGAGAUAUUUUUCUCUUUUCCUUUGUUCUAAUCUUUGUUUCGGCUCCACCUAGGCCGAUCCUCGUUGUUUCCUUUUCGAAAUUGCUCAUAUUGGACAACCCGAACUUCCAAAUCAAAUAGAUUUGAAAAAUAUUUAUCUUCAAAAUGAUCUUUUAUCUUGAAAUGUAAGCCGUUAAAUGCCAUCUUGGCAAAUUCUGAUUCUGGCAUUCUUACAAAACAACGGCUCCUGGCCGUCUUGAAUCGGUUCAAGUAUUCUUCAACCGAUUCAAGUAUUCUUCAACCGAUUCACCUGUUCUCUGUUUAAAUUGAGCCAGAUCAGCUACCGAUAAUUCUGGUUCUGAUCUAUAAAAUUGUUCAUGAAAUUUUCUUUCUAAUUUGUCCCAAUCUCGGACGGAAUUAGCCGGCAAACUCGUAUACCAAGUAAAAGUGUCUUGGUUAACGAGGUGUUAAAUAAUCUCAAUUUUAAAAACGGAUCCACCGCGGCUUCUCGGCAUUGUGCCGUAAACCGUGCAACAUGUUCGACCGUGUUUUCGGUCUCAUCGCUAGAAAAUUUGUCAAACUUCGGCACUUUCCAAUUUGCUGGAUAAGGAUGCUCUGCGUCUAUAUUCGCAGGAUAAGGUGAUCUAAAUACAGGCCGCAUUGCCGGCCUUGCGCAAACUCCGAAAGUAUUUCGGAUGGCUUCUUCAAUCUGUGCGUAUAUUUCAUUAUUAUUCCCUUGGAAAGGAACUUGUGCUUGUGCUUCAUUCGGUCCUUGCGGUAGCCCUAAAUUCUGUACCAUAGGGUUUACUUCUUGUAUAUUCGGGGCCUACCCCCCAGCUCUAGCCCCUAUAUUUUGGGGCUGAUAUGCUGCCACUGGCGGAGGAGGCGGUAAUCCCCAUGGUAUCUCUGGCUGUGGACCGGCAUUAUUAAUAGCCGGUCUGUAAGCUGCUUGAAAUGGUGCCUCCUGGUAUUGGGGCUGACCAUUUGCUGGUAUUACAGGAUUUUGUAACACUAGCGUCAUUACAGGCCCUUGCAAGCCUACUACCGGUUGCUCAUUACGAGUCAAUAAUUGCCCUAUUCGGGCAAUAUUCUCGUUGGAGGCCGUGAUUGUGGCCAACACUGCAUCUAAUCGUGCAGUGCUUCUAUGACUAUUUUGAUCCAAUACUUGUAGGACCCGUGUCAUUUGUCCAAGCGCCUGAGUCAAACUAGGCUCUUGCUGGUCAGAUUGACCACUAGUCUCACAUUCGACAGGCAAGACCGCUUGGCGCUCUCCAGCAUUAUCGGAAUUGCUUGGUUGAUCGCUCCCGAAAUUUCUAGGAACGACUCAAUUGCGUAAAUUCAUGGUGUUAUCAUCAGCCAUAACUUCAAGAGAAAUAUAAAUUUACCUAAAUUGGUGUCCCACCGGGUAUGCCAAAAUUGUUAGGAGCCGAAUUUACCCUUCUUUGACCCGAUCAAAGAUCCUCCUCGGGAAGCGUGUCGGGGUAUGGAAUAGCUACGAAUAGUGACCCUCGAAGUUUGUGCCCUUCAACUGGAUCAAGCAAUUCGGCUGAUGAGGGAUCGGAUCAGCCAAGUUCGAAACCUUCUACUGAAGAGUCGGUUCGGCUGGAUGAGCCGAAUGUACGAACUAUGCACAGAUUUGGGUUGGCCGAAGAGCCGAAUAGGCAGAAAAUACAAUGACUAGUCGGUUGAAAGAGCCGAAAGCCUUUAUAUAUUGAAUGUAACUUGUUAAAACAGUACAAAGAUUCAGUGUGCUUGAGGGCAUACAGACUGGGUUGAUCUAGCUAAAACUCUACUCCUAAAGAAAAGCAGUAAAUGCAGGAAAGUAAAGGAUUACAAGUAGACUACUUCUAAAAAAUGCGAGGAAAUUGCAGGCAAGAUACAGGUGGUCUUCUAUUCUCGGGAAAAAGACCACUUUUUAGGGCGUUAUUGGCCUAUUUAUAGAUUGCCCCUGUUGAUCAAUUAUUCCCCACCCAUGAUCGGCCACUACUUCUAUUUUCCCGGGCCACUUUCAGCCGAUCGGAACCGCUUGUAACUGCUCGCGGUUACUGUAACUUCCCUUAAUUGCGCGGUGAUUUGCUUAAAACCUCUUCCGAUGCUCCCGAUGCACAGCAAAAUUAUUACACUUAAUAAAUAAAGCUGAGUGGUGUACCAGCGUACCACGUGUCCGCGCCUUAUAGGCCCAACAGUAUGAAAACUUAAUAAGUUUUAAUUAAUUAUAAUUAUUAAAUUUGAUAAAAAAUAAAAGAAUCAUUUAAAUUUUUAAAGUUUGAUUUACAUAUUGUAAGGACUGAAAUUUUGGCAGUACAAUUAGACUCUCUGUUGACGAUGUUCCUGUGUGCAAUUUAAUUACAUAAACACUCGUCAAGUUUCAGGAGAAAAUGAGCUAAAAUGGAGAAGAUACGCGAUUUUUAGUUUUCACUUAAGUGAAUAGUAACUCUGAUUUUUCGGAAAAGUUAAUAAGAAAAUACGGCUUCUGGCGCGUAUCGCACUCCGUUCAUAGCAAUCCAAUAGCUCGUUUCGACCGGUUCAGUUAUUCUGGAACUAAUGGCGCUGACGGAUUUUGAGUUUGACGCAUGGAUUUUGAGAAAAUCAGAAAAUACAUGUUUUAUAUGUAAUUGUGCGUCGUAUUUGGCCUUUUGGAGAGAGAGCGGAUUUCGUCGCGAAUCCGUGACUAUUUGAGGCGAAACGAAAUCGCAGCCUUGUUGUCUCCGAGGUGCUGAUCGCACUGGUGAGAUUCGUUCGCAAAUCGGAUAGACGGGUCUACGGAGACUGCACGUUGAUCGAGGUGAGGUCGGUGUUGGCAAAACGGUAUUUUCGCAAAAGCCGCGACAUUUUAUGUGCCAUUUUGCAUGAAAUCGCAGGUGGAGGGGUAUUCGCACGUUUUACUCAUGCUGUGGAGGACCCAGUUUGAAAUUCUUAGCUUUGGUGGACUUAUCUGCAAUUCUACACCAUAUAUAUAUGGUUGCAUUAGGGUUUUCCACUUGAAACCCUAACCUAGCCCUAACGGCACCCCCAGCCACGUUCUUGCUUCCCUCUGACCUAGCCGCACGACUCCCGCCCGCCGCCGACUGAGCCCCGACCGGCCAACCGCCGCCGCAGCCAUCUUCUUUCUUCCUCUCCAUAUAUAUAUCUCUCUCUCUCUCUCUCUUUCUCUCUCUCUCUCUCUCUCUCGCUUCUUCUCGGGUUGGAGCCCUAGUCGAGGCUGCAUUGCCUCCCUACUCCCUGCUGGCGUCGCCCUGACCUUGUCGGAGCCGCCCCAGGUCGAUCGCUGCUGCCUGCCGCCGUCGCCAAGCGCCGCCGCGGCCGCUGCUGCACCCUGCUGCUGCCCAGGCCGAGGCUAACUCGCGGCCCCCUCGUGUACAGCCGCCACCUGAGCCCGCUCCCGCCACCCUCCUGGAACUCCCCGGCGCCGUCCCCCGCCGGCCGUCGCCGCCCGCACGCGUCGCCCGAAGCUCUUGCAGCCGCUCAGACUCGAUGCUGGCCGAGGCAGAGCCCUCGUGGCCUCCGCGCGUUGCCACCGCCUAUGGCAGGGAGCACCACCUCCCCCUAGGCCUCCGCCGACAGUUCGUCGCCGCCCGGAGAUCCCCCGGCCGCCGCCGGCCGCCUCAGACCUCAUGAACCCGUGAGCAAGUCGCGGGUCGAUCCGUGUCGCCGCGCCACCGGCCGCCUCCCGCCGCCGGCCAGCAGGUUCCCCGGAUCCCUUAGACCAGCCGCUCCCAUCUUCGGCCGAAUCGCUCGCCAUCCGGCCGCCGACGGCCAGCCCUAGCUCUCCCUUGGCCGGUAAGCUUGAUUUCAGCGUUUCUGCUCAUAGUUUCCUGUUCUGGUCACUGUUCCGGCGACCCAAUGCUGUUCCGAUGCCUCCGGGGGUGAGCACGGUGAUUGUCUGUCAGUCCUGAUCACAGUGCUCACCUCAUUUAGAGCCAACGAGCCCCUGGUUGGCGAGAUAAGCAUGUUUUUCCUGCUGUGCGCGCUGUUUCACUGAUUUCGCAUCGCUCGUGCACGUGCCACAGUGGCCGGUAGUGCUCCGAAAGGUGAGCAUGGUCUCCGGCACGCCGAGACCUGACAGCGGGUGUCUCGGUUUGGCUGAUUGACUUCUAGUUUGUGUAGACGGACCAUAAAAGCGUCGAAAUCACAUAAAAUAAUGCGAUUUCGGGUAAUCGGGAGGGCUUUUAUGUAUUUUGGGUUGUUGCGGCUGCUGUUGGCAGCAUGGGUGAGUAGUGAGUAACCUUUGGACUGAUUGUCCAAGGCCCCAAGCCCUUACGGAGACCGUAAAGUGAUUUCCGAUGCGUUUCUCGGCGAAAUUCGCCGACAGAACGCAGGUUCGGUUCGGAAUUCUUCCGACGGUACUUGGUGAUUAUUUGCGUCGUCGCUGAGCCUUGUUGGCUGGUCACCCGCGUCGUUUCGAGGGUUCGAAAACGACGGGUGAGUGACGGUAGAGUUCCGGUGCGGUUUUCGUGACUUCCGGCUUGUUUGGUAAUCGGUUUUGGGAAACCGGUUCUCGUGGUUCUGGUGAGUGGGGUUUGUGUGUUAGCGAGUCAUGUUAGUGGGUUAGAUUCUAACCCGUGGACCUUUCGUAGGUUCGAUUGUUCUGUCUUCAUAGUCGAGAGAUCUUCGUCAGACACGUACAAGUGGGUACUUCGAUCCGACGUCGGUACAGUGGUGCACGCUCGGUGAUGGUUUCUUACUUUUGUUCUCUCGUUAUUAUCUGGCAUAUAUAUAUAUCUUGAUAUAUAGUGUUGAGCCUAGCACCAUGUUGUUUCAGUUAUGCUCUACUCGGUUAUUUUCGUUAUAUCUAGUAUCAUGAGUAGGAGUAGAGUAGUUAUUCCAUAUUUCUUUGUUACUCUAUUUAGCUGUUCUGCAUAUCCGGUAUCAUGUUUAGAGUAGAGCAUCUUCGUGACUUUCAUUGUUUGAUGACCGUUGAGGUCGGUAUACCCUGAGGGGUGAGAUUGUCGGUUAAUGGCCGACGGAUGAUUAUAGUUUUCACAAAUCCGUCAUUUGACCCUUUGUGACCUAGUCUGUUAGUUCUGGAUUCUUGUCGUUUGAUGACCCAUGAGGUCGGUGUACCCUGAGGGGUAGGAUUGUCAGCUAGUGGCUGACGGCAAUUCCAGAUUAUAGUGAUACAUUCCUGUGAUUUAUGGUUGUCUUGAUAUCUAUACUUUAGUUGAUCCAUCGAACAGUAUUUCCAUACUUUUGAGAGGAUUGAGUCGAUUCGUUGUGCAUAUAUCCUAGUUGACUUGAGUGUGUCAGUCAUUGUGGGUUCAUUGAGCAGUACUUGCAUAUGUUUGAGAGGAUGUCGAUGUGUUCCCAUCCUAGUUGACUGAGUGGUCGGUUCUUGUGCUUCCUUACAGUGGAUGACUUUUGGUCGUUACCCAAGGGCGGGUGAUUCUCGGCUGAUUUGUCGACGGUUGGCUAUUGAUCAUAUCCGCAUUGAUCGCCACAGCUCGAGUGCAUUUCACGUACACCAGCGGGUUGAUCCCCGCAGGAUGGCUGUUCUUUUCCGGAAAAGUGGUCGUACAUCCGACCCGUGAGCCCAGCGGUGUUCUCUUUGUGCUAGGGUUACAUGCCAGGUGUGAGCAGGUAGUGGCUUUUCCCUGAGGUCCUUAGACCGACACGGCGGUUUAGAUUUGGUACUUUUGGACUUCUCGUCCGGUUUGGCGCAUAUAGCUAUAGUAGCGGUUGUUGCAUAUAUACUUCUAGUUCUUUCUUUACAGUUGUCUUGUACUAUAGUUUUGAUAUCCUUGUUAUGCUUGCAGUUGUACAUUACAGUAGCGUAGUUGUGCUUUAUAUAUAUAUCUCAUUGUUCAUUAUCGUGCUACUGUAUUUUACUUACCCAUACUGUUGUUUAUCUCUUCCUGAUCCGGUGAGUACUCCUCGCCUUCUUCGGCUUGCGUACCCACUGGGAGGGGAGACAUGUUUAUAUGUUCUCACCUCCCCCACUAUUUUUCAGGUAUCGCGGGCGGUGAGGUUGAGACGAGACGUGAGACACGUGGAUAGCUGUCGUUAGAGCCUCCGACCCGGUUUGUACUAUUUAGUUAUUACCCUAUUAUUUCUGGUGAUAUAUAGCUUAGUCGGUCUAUAUGGUUCAAUAUUUCAUUAUGUUAAAAUAUUCAAGGAUUUCUAGAUUUUCGUAAAUAAAAUAUUUUCUACCCCUCGUGGUAGCGUUUUUAAAAGAUAAAAGUUUCCGUGUAGGGACCAGUUUUUAAAAGAUUUUCUGUGGAAUUAUGUUUAAACAUUGAAUGUAAAUCUGUGAUGUGAAUGGUGAAUGUAUGAAUGUAUAGUUAUCUUUAUAUUCAUUUAGUUGUGGUUGUAUCCUGUUUGUAUUUUUGUACUUGUACGACGCCGUGCAAAUACAGGGGAGACUCUGUCCGUGUGAACAGUGGAUUCCCUGUAUUUGUGGCGGAUCUGGCAUUCCCUGGGGUUAGGUUUUCAAAAAAAAAAAAAAUUUUCGCUGUAUUUUAACCUAAAAUGGGACCCCGGGGCGUGACACAUAUUAAAAUUAAAUAUAUUGAAAAUUUUAAAUGUGUCGAUUGAUAAGUUGAAGAAUUAUUAAAAAAUAUAAAAAUAUUACAUAUCUCCACUUAUUUAUUUAUAGAUAGUAAGUUAAAUGAUUAAGAAAAUUAUACAAUUAUUUUCUAUAUAGUGAAGAAAAUCCCACCAAUCUAUAUGCAGAGAUAAUGAGAUUCACAAAUACAACUAUCAAUUUCAUAUUACCAAAUAGAAGAAAUGUAAUUGCAACAGUUACAUCUAUACAAAACCAAAUAAACUAUAUGUUUACAAUUACUGUAUUUUCAACUGCAUACAUUUUUAAUUAUAUUGCAUUUACAAGUACAUCCAACCAAACGGCCCCUUACAAUAAUAUAAGGGAAAACUUCAAAAAAACCAACCUGUGGUUUUGCACUUUUUCAUUUUAGUGCCAUGUGGUUUAAAGUGUAUCAAGUUAGUACCCUGUGGUUUCGCACUUUCUCACUUUAGUACACUGUGGUUUAAAGUGUAUCAAGUUAGUACUCUGUGGUUAGGGCUGUAGAGUAAGGACCCACUAGUACAACUACUUUUGGAGGGUUUUGUGAAUCACAGAGACAAAACUAUCCUCCGUAACAGUAAAAAAAUUUUAAUAAAUUUUAGAAAAUUGUUAUAUGUAUGAAUUCUCUUACAAACCGCCGCCGUCGCCGCCCUCGCCGGCGACGAAGAAGAGGGAAGAAGAAGAGGAGGAAGAAGAAGAAGGGUAGAACCGUAAAUUCACGUUAUAAUUAACCAUGGUUAAGUAUUUUAACCGUGGUUAACGAAAAUUUUCUAACAGUCCUUAACGGCAGGGACAUAUCUGCAUAACUUAAGACUUUUGCAGAGACAACUUAUGGAGUUUCCGUUUUGCAGGAAUAUUUCUGCAAUUCACUAUAUUUGCAGGGACGUGUAUGCAAAUAACCCUUGAUUUUAUGUCUCGGUUUUUACUUUUUAUCAUUCAGCUAGGUUAUUUGGUUAAUUUUUAGGCUAAAUUACAUAAAACCCCCUAUCAAAAUUCAAUUUUUCACUUCUUCUCACUGUCAUUUAAAAACCUACACUUUGCCUCCUUAUGAAAUGAAAACAUUCACAGGGGGUACGGUGUAAACUGUGAUGAUAAAAUGACCAUUUUGUCCCCCACUAUUUUUUCCCUCACCAUAUUCACAGAAGAGAAGGCUGAGGGGAUUUUUGGCAUAAAAAAUUAAUUCAGAAAAAAUAUAAUUUUUUAAUUUUAAGUUUUAAUUUUUAAAUUUCAAAUUUUAAGAUUUUAAAUAGUGAAUUCAAAUAUUAAAUUGUAAAUAUUGAACUUUUAAUUUCAUAUGUUAAAAUUUAAAAUUUUGUUCUCAACGUUUUAUACCUUAAAUUUAAAUUUAAAAUUUGCAUAAUAGAAAAUUUUACAUUUUUAAUAUUUAAUUAUUCAUUUUGGUUUUGCUUAAAUUUUAUAAUCAAUUUUUAUAAAUUACAUAAAUUUUUUGCUGCGAAGUGCGGGCCUUCACUAGUAUGUAUGAAUUCUCUUACAAACCACCUAAUUCACCACAACAAAAGUUUUGUUUUUUCCUUACUCUUUCUCUUCUGUAAAUGUUAAGCGGUUGUUUGGUUUUACGUAAAAUUGGGAAAAAAAAUUUUCCGUGAAAAACAGUUUUUCGUGAAAAAUUUAUUUUACGGUUUUUAGUGUUUGGUUUGUAGGAAAAGAAAACUAGUUUUCAGUUAUAAUUGUUUGGUUAAAUAAUUGAAAAGAAAAAUUACAUUUUUUUAUUAUAUAUUCUAUAUAUUAUUUAUUUAUAAUUUAUAAUAAUUAUUAGGCUAUAUAUAUUAUUAUUAUAAUUUAUAUUUAUGAAUUAAAUAUAUCAAAAUUAUAUAAUAUGAUAAAUUGAUAAGUAUUUAAUAUAAUAUAUGUAAGAGUCCGCAUAUAAUAAUACUAUAUAAAAAUAUAUAAUUUUUAUAAAUAAAAAUAUAAAAUUAGUUUUUCUUUAUGAUUGUUUGGUUGAAAAGAAAAAAAAGNUUAGUUAUAAGAGAAAAAAAUUAUUUAAACUUUAAAGACUUUUCGCUUCCUCACUAUAGGUUACCAUAUUAAUUUGAAUUACUUAAUGACCCAUAAUAAUUUAAUAAAUACAUAUAACCUUCAAAAGAAUUAUUACAAAUUAAUGUAAAACUUGAAAUUCAAAUUUUUCAUAUUCCAUUAUAAUUGAAAAGUAGGGAAUUAAAGAGAUAAUAAAAAUAGUGAAUUAGUAGAGAAAGUAAAAAAAUAGUGAUAUUUAGUUGAAUCACCAUUAUUUCUCAAUUUUAUCCUAAAAAAAUCUUGGCCUAAGAGGUUCUUAAAAUAGUCUAACUCAUCGAGAAGGUUUUUUUAUGUUACUAAAAUGACCUUUUGGUUUCUAUGUCACAAUCCACAUUGUUAUAAAAAUAAAUGGCAAAAAAGGAGAAUGCAUUAAUGCACAAAGAAACGUAUAGAAUACUAUGUAUAUUAGUUGUUAAAUAUAUAGAUUAUAAAUGUGUAUUAAAUUAUAAUAUCUAUCUAUUAACUUAUAUUAAACCCCAUAAUUAAUCCACGUGGCAAGCUUAGCAUAAUUUUAGCCUACAAGCCUACACGUCAGCAUAAUCUUAAAUGAAAUUACAAGUCCGUGGGGCCUACCUGACAAUUCUUUUUCUCUUGAACUAGCUUUUUCCCAUUCUUGAACUGUUUCUCUUCUUUCUUGAACCGUCUUUUCCCCUCCCUUAAGCCGUUUCUUCUUCCGACCCACCCCCGCUGAUGAAAUACAGGUCCAGUGCAUUGUCGUUUCUUCUUCCCUCCCGACCAUUUCCUCGAUUGCCAUUUUCUCUACCUUCCUUACAUAAAGCGUCACAAUAUUGGGGAUGAGAGGUGGCGACAGGGGUUCGAGGCAUGAGGUGGCGGAUGAUGGCAGGGUAAGGGAGCAAAGAAAGUAGAGAGAGAGAGAGUAGGUAGGUCGUGGUGUUUGACAAUGACACCAAAGUAAGAUACCUUAUAAUUUCCUUUUUUUUCUUUUUUUUUAAUGUACUCCAUCUCGAUCAGGUCUGUAGGAUCUAAUCCCAUUUUGCUCUUACUUAAUUUGUUGUGCUCCAUUGUUGGAACUCCCUUCUUUUGUACACCCUCUCCUACUUUUGCUACUACUAUCUCCAAUUUUUCAUUUACUUUAGAUUCAGUUUUUUCUUAUUCUUUUUAUGUUUUUGCUGCCAUACUGCUGCAGCAGCAAUUUUUGCUACUAUUGCUUCAUUUUCUUCCUGCUCUGCUGCUGUAGAAGCAGCAAUUCUACUUCUAUUACUUCUUUGAAUAAGUUAUUAUCUCCAAAUUACUGAUUAAUAAAAAAAAANUGCAUUAAUGCACAAAGAAACGUAUAGAAUACUAUGUAUAUUAGUUGUUAAAUAUAUAGAUUAUAAAUGUGUAUUAAAUUAUAAUAUCUAUCUAUUAACUUAUAUUAAACCCCAUAAUUAAUCCACGUGGCAAGCUUAGCAUAAUUUUAGCCUACAAACCUACACGUCAGCAUAAUCUUAAAUGAAAUUACAAGUCCGUGGGGCCUACCUGACAAUUCUUUUUCUCUUGAACCGGCUUUUUCCCAUUCUUGAACUGUUUCUCUUCUUCCUUGAACCGUCUUUUCCCCUCCCUUAAGCCGUUUCUUCUUCCCAUCCACCCCCGCUGAUGAAAUACAGGUCCAGUGCAUUGUCGUUUCUUCUUCCCUCCCCACCAUUUCCUCGAUUGCCGUUUUCUCUACGUUCCUUACAUAAAGCGUCACAAUAUUGGGGAUGAGAGGUGGCGACAGGGGUUCGAGGCAUGAGGUGGCGAAUGAUGGCAGGGGAAGGGAGCAAAGAAAGUAGAGAGAGAGAGAGAGAGAGAGAGAGAGAGUAGGUAGGUCGUGGUGUUUGACAAUGGCACCAGAGUAAGAUACCUUCUAAUCUCCUCUUUUUUUCUUUUUUUUUUAAUACACUCCAUCUUGAUCAGGUCUGUAGGAUCUAAUCCCAUUUUGCUCUUACUUAAUUUGUUGUGCUCCAUUGUUGGAACUCCCUUCUUUUGUACACCCUCUCCUACUUUUGCUACUACUAUCUCCAAUUUUUCAUUUACUUUAGAUUCAGUUUUUUCUUAUUCUUUUUAUGUUUUUGCUGCCAUACUGCUGCAGCAACAAUUUUUGCUACUAUUGCUUCUUUUCCUUCCUGCCACUGCUGCUGUAGAAGUAGCAAUUCUACUUCUAUUACUUCUUUGAAUAAGUUAUUAUCUCCAAAUUACUAAUUAAUAAAAAAAAUUUAUUCAUGUUUGCAUUAUACAGAUUCAUGAACUGGAGUAUCCAGUACGUUGGAAAUUCAUCUGUAGGAUCGAGCAGAAGUUUGGCAUAUUUAGCAAACUAGAUGCUUGCACUUUUGUCGUAAAUGCUUAUGAUGAAGUAUAGUCACAGGUUGUUCUUCCCAUGGUAAUCAUUUUGCCACUAUUGCAACUGCCUUCUAUCCUAAGGUAUGUUAACAUGAUUAGAUACUGCAUUUCUUCACUUUUUUCCUUACAAUUGUUUGUUUUUAAUUACUUAAAGUUGCACCUGGAGCUUAGUUGAUUUCCUUCAAGAUCGGAGACACUCUUAGGCUUGAUGGAAACACGAAUUGGUUUGGUUCGGACAUUAUUUGCCGCAGUGAAGGCAAUUAGUUUAUUUCCACAUUUUGGUUUACAAAAUGAAAUUGAGGACACUUAAGAUUUUAGAUACUAUCAAGAAUUUACUUUUCCAUGCUAAAUAUUUGGCUGAAGUGAUGAUUCAGUAUUACAUAAGCAGCGGCAGCAGCAGCACUAGCAGCAUAAUCAAUAGAAAAGAAGAAGAUAAAGAAUAAGAAGAAGAAGAAGAAGAAAAAGAACAAGCAAAUAGUAGCAGCACCACAAAUUGUGUAGCAUGCAUCUAUGGUAUGUUGAUUUUCCAAAUAUUCUAAUAUGCAAACUCUAUAUAAACUUAAGACUAUUGAAUAUGUGCUAUAAUUAUCUUACAUACAUUGAUUUUAAUUUUAAUUCUUUGUUAUGAGACUCGCUAGAAGCUAAUUUGUUGGAACUAGAUAAGAUUAUGUUGAUUAAUGCACCUCUUCUUUAUACUCUUGGACAUAUAAUUUUCUCUAUCACUAUUUGCAUUGGACUUUUUACCUCCAAGAUUCAGUUUGUAUAUUUGCACUAUAAGUUUUAUCUCUCAUGUUCAACUUCUAUUGUUCGAUGUAAUUAUGAAUAAUUUGAAAGUCUCUUCUCUGAUAUUUUAUUGUGCCCUUUUGGCCUGGCUUUUGUCGGUCCAAAACACGUACUUCUCCAUAAUUGGCCAUUUGGGAAUGUCGCUAAACUGCAGAAGCCCUAUUGUCGGAGCCUUUGUGGUAAGAAAAUUUUGGUUAACCCUAAUCUUUGCAAGUUUUUAUUUUGUUCCCUAACCUAUUUUUAGAGAUCAAUUUUAUUUUACUUGAAAUUUAAAACUUGAAUUCAUAUUUAUAUUUAUAUUUAUAUUUUAAAUUCAAAUUUUAAAUUUGAAUUAUAUAUUGAAUUAAAAAUUUUAAAUUCACAAUUAGAUUAAUGACUUCAAAUUUAAAUUUUAAAUUUAACUUUGGUUCAAAUUUUGAAUUUAAAUACUACUUUUGAAGUUGAAUUAUAAAUUUGAUUAUUGGUUCAGAUUUUAAAUUUGAUAUUUGAUUUUGGAUUAUAUUUUAUUUUAAAAUUCAAAUUUCAAACUUAAUUUGAAACUUUGAUUUAAGUGUGUAAUAAUUUAACAGAGUUCUUAUCAAACAGUUUUCUAUAGCAGACAAUGCUUUGAUAAUAAAAAAUACUAAAUGCUCUACAGCUUUUUUUUAACAAUAAUGCACUAUUUCAUAUAGUACCUUUUCAACCGUAUUACUCUAUAUAAGCAAGCCAAACAGGCCCAAUGCCGACAAAUUUUUAUUGCAACAAUAUCUAUUAACCGCAACACAUGGGGUACUUUCUAAGCUGACCAUGCACAUAAUAUUACAUUUAACUUUGUUAAAAAAAUUGUAUUAUAUUAACAUGAAUACUUGAUGGCAAAAGGAGUAAAAGAGAAAGAAGAAGAAAUGUUUGGUGAUUACAUUGAUUAAUCCUCAGUAUCAGCAUAUCUACUGUUUUUAGUNAUAUAUAGGACUAUCUGGGGUCUCACAAUCUCCCCUCCUUUAAGCCCUGACGUCCUCGUCAGGCUCAGACUCACAAGUACCAGGCAAUGUGAGACUCAUCUCGCUAGCCCGUCAUCCAGACCCUAGCUCAGCCGAGACUCAUCUCACACUUCCGGCUGGUAAUUGGCUCUGUAUUACAACAGAAUUAGAUUAUAGGGACACAUGUUUGGAACACUUUUGAGUAAGUGUCCUAUUUAUUCUAAAACUUAAAAAAAUAUCUACUAAUGCCUAAAUAUAAAGCCCAAUCCAACCAAAAAUAAAAGAUUACUCUACUCAACUCACCACACCUAGUUCAUUUGGCCCGAUUAUAAACAGAAAAGAAAAAAAAAAAGAAAAAUCAAUUACCAUCUUUUCUUCUCUCUUCACUCAAUCUACUGAAAUUCUAGACGAAGAGCCUUUCCUGUCGUCCUUCUCCGCCACCGCAGCCAACGAGAUAGAGUUUCGGCGGUUGCUAAAUGCUUAAAUAAGUGUUGGUAAAUUAGCAGCACUCUUUUAGGUUAUAGCGACACUCUUUAAUUGUUACUAUGUACCUAGCGACCCCACAUAUAGCAACACUUUUUAAAAGUGUUGACAUGUACCUAUAUUUAAAAGUGUCGCUAUAGACCGUUUUUGUUGUAGUGCUGAUACCAUCUGUAACGCCCCGACUUCCCAGAGGGUCACCCAUCCUAGGACUACUCCUAUCCUAGCACGCUUAACUCUCUUAACCUCUUGGUCUAGCCACCACCCAAAAUGCUUAAGCCGGAUUAAGAGUUUAGCCCUAUUAUAUCUCAUAUAUAGGACUAUCUGGGGUCUCAUUGGAUUUAUAAGAGACUUAGACACUAGUAAUAAUAACUGGGCUUAAGCAUUUUGGGCUGUUGGCUGGGCCCAACGAGUUAUUGUUGCUAGUGAGCUGGGUCGUUACAGGUACUUUCUAAGCUGACCACGCACAUAAUAUUACAAUUAGCUUUGUUAAAAAAAUUAUAUUAUAUUAACAUGAAUACUUGAUGGCAAAAGGAGUAAAAGAGAAAGAAGAAGAAAUGUUUGGUGAUUACAUUGAUUAAUUCUCAGUAUCAGCAUAUCUACUGUUUUUAGUUGGAAUUUUAUUUUUUUAGGUUGCAUUGUCUACAAAUCCUUUUAGAACCAUGUUUUUUUUUUUUUUUCUAAAUUUUAGAUUUAUACCAUAUAUAAACUAUGUUUCCUUUUAAGUUUACAUCAUCUUACUGUAUUUUGAGCUAUUUUUAUUUAGUUUGAGAGCUGGUUGGUGUUUGAUACAAAACCCCUGCAUGCACUUAUACACGUCUAAUUUAUUGAGUAGCAUACAAGAACUUUAUCUUUUAUUUUAAAGAGCAUUACCUUUCCAAAGAAGAUCGUCUCUUGAAGUUUCAAUAUGAGGGAGGAAUCCAAAAAUUCUGUUGGAUACUGAAAGUGAAACAGAGGAGGAAAUAUCAACCAAAUUAAAUACUAAAAAUAUGAGUUGCAUUGCUGAGAAACCUUGGAAAGAACAUGGUCCGAAAGAAUUUAGCUUGAUUCUAAGUAAAAUCUGUGAAAAUGAGUAGGUUAUGAAGUUGGAAGCCAAGGUAAAGUAAUUUUUAAUUCUUUCUCUAAUUUUAUUAUAUUUUCGCUCCUGAGUUGCAAUUCUAAACUUUGGAGGUUAAAAUUAUUUGUAACUAUAGGUUCCCUCCUUCGCCAUCUUGCAAUAGAUAUACAAAUUUUGAUUUCUAUAUCAUUUUCGUUAAUUGUUAUACACAUUCAUUUGCUUCCACGAAAUCUUUCCGCCGCAUCGCGCGGGUAUCUUCACUAGUAUAUAAUGGAAAAGGGUGAGAGAGUCCACCGUGGACUCUCUCUCACGCAGUCCACAAAGUGAGGAUGAUCUUGUGGACCGCGUGCUCAAAAAGUUCGUGAGCUGCAAUUUCCAUUCACGGGUUUUCGUUUUCCGCAGGCAGCAUGCGAAAACGAAAAGUCGAUUUUUUCUUCAAAAUCUGUAAACUAACUUUUCUAAAAAAGAUUUUACGGACAACCAAACCUGGGAAAAACGGAGGUAUUUUACAGGGAUCCAAACCCACCCUAACUUUUUCUACUCUCAAAUCUCAAAUUUUCUUAAUUAAACCAUAAGAAUUUUUUAAAAUUGAACAAAUUCUUCUUAGAAAAUUUAUCCUUAGCCGACCAUUCCUAGAGCAAGUGGGAAAGAGCUUGGUGUAAUCCUAGUUGAUUCACAUUUUCAGCUAAGUUUAUUUCUAAAUGAAAUAAACGAAGCGGGUAGCGUGCUAUCUAUCUCUCUAAAAAAAAAAAAAAAAAAAAAAAAAAAAUCCUUAAGCUCUAAAUACAAGCUCUCAAUCUCAAGACAACAUAUAACUCUCAAUUUCUAAUUAUAUAUUUUUUAAAAAUAUUUUUAGUCAAUUAUUGUUUAGUAGUUGUUGUGUUGUUUUUUUAAAAACAACGUCGGACGAAUUUUUCAUUAGAUUUUUUAAUACUAAUUAUACUCCUAAAUAGUACAUCAGCAAUCAAUCAUCCUACUGUAGCUAGCAUUUUUAUAGAGGAUGGUGAGAGUCCACAACUUCAAGAAAAUAUUUUUGAUGCAAAUUCUAAAAGGCAUCAUAAAAGAUAACAAGUGAAUAAUAAAAGUACUUCAAAAUCAAAAAUUUGAAGGAUAUGAUCUGCACCUUUUCUUCCCUUUACUGAGGUUUCAAAAUCACAAAGUGGAUUCCAAAAACCUUUUGUUGGUUUCUUAGAACCCAAACUAUCUUUCAUCCGAAUCUUUUGCUCAGGUUUCAAAGCCUAACAUUUGGGUUCUGAAAUGUAAUGCUUUUAGGCCAAAGUUCGCUUUAACUUUUCUUUUCAUCUUCUUUUCUCUUCCUUAGAAAAUACAAUUUUUAAAAAAAAUUAUUUUAAAUAAUUAUUCAUGUAGCAAAAGUACUUGUAAAUAGUGAAUAAAUAUUUAUGUCAAAUGGUUGGUGAUUAUGCAGCUAUUUCGAGCAAUUAACGUUCAUAUUCUUCAAAGUUGUAAGGCAAUAGCAGCAGCAGUAAUAGUAAAAUUAGUAAAAAUAUGUUUUUAUCUUUGUUAGAAAGCAAAAACAAAUCGAUUUUAUAACCACAACUAACGAAUUUUAGUUUUAUUUACAAACCGCGUGAUUUUUUAAAUUUUUUCACCAAACAAGAAUGAGAUAAGUUUAACAUUUUAGUGUUGUGGAGUACAUGGAAGUACAUAUUUUGUACUUUUGCUAUAGUCCAUGAUCGACCUAUCUUGUAGGUUUCGCCAGUGGCAUCAAGUUGCAGAUGGAAGAAUACUAGAUAAUUAUAGAAUUCAGCUCAGAAAUGAUGUAUUCGAAGUGUUUGAAUACCUAAAAGAUCGGCGAGCUACCGAUUGAAGAAUACAAGAUAAAAGAGGUCUCGAGUAUACAUCAUCAGAUACAAUAGAAUCAGUUGUUUAAGAAUAUGCCAACACUCGUGGCAUAUUGAAUUAAGCCAACUUUUUUAAGUAAAUAUAAUGUAAUGGAGAGAUAAUAGAAUUAGAUUAUUAUUAUUUUUUUAAUAUAUAUUUGGUGGUUGGUUGUUUAAGUCAUUCCAUUCUAUUAAUAUAUAUUUCUUAAUUUUUUUCAUUCCUCGAAUGCAAUAUAAUUAAUUUAAAAUUUAAAAAUUUUAAAUGCUGCGUCGGCCCAGACGGCCCAGACGGCCUACAUUACACCCCUAACAGUGUGGGAGGUAGAGUAUUGAAAGGAUGUUUUCAUUUUUAUUCUAAAUAAAUUAUUUGAUUAUCACUUAAAUUCUUUUUGUAUUUUCCCAUACAUUCCCUUCAAAGAAAAAGAAAAAAAGGAAAAACCUAUAUUAUAAUCUCAAGCACCAAUUAUAUACCCUAUAUCCUUAUGACAUCCAAAUAUUCUUUCAUACCUUUUAUCCCAUUUGUAAAAUCUGUCUGCUAUUUCUAGACAGUAUAGAAGAGAUGAUCGAAUCUGACUUUUCUACAGUUGAUAUUGGAAACUAUAUUUUAUUAUUUUUAAAUGUUUUAUGUAUGACAAAAUUAGUUUGAGUUGUUGGUGCUAACUAUUAAUUCUCAAAACUCGAGCUAUUAAAAUUAUGCAACCAAUUCACUUAAAACAUAUAGAUUUAGUAUUCAUGGAUCUCGAUUGUGAUUCGGCCACAUCAGUCUCACGCGCAUUUCAAACAUAAUUCGGCACAAAUUAGCCUUCCGCCACAUAGCAGGAUGCUAACAGUAGGACACAAAUAUUAAAACUGUGAAUACUGUAGUACAAAAUGUGACAGGGAGCUACAUUCAUUUUAGCCCAAUAAACAUUUUUUGAGAGAAAGAUGGCAUUCCAUUCGUUUUGUUUAAUUUUUUCAAAAAUAAAUUUAGCUAAAAAUGUGAAACAAUUAGACUUCGUACAGAUAUCAACCAUCAAGUCUUUUGCUACUUGCACUGGUGACGUUAUUUUAAAGUAAAGUUUAAUACAUUACGCGGGCGUACAUACGUCAUGCCCGUGUUAGAGCCCACACUCUUUUUGCAGUAUCGAAAAGCCCAUCCAAUGCUGGGCCUGCUUUUGGUCAACCAAGUGUUUGAACCUCACAUAUCCCCCCCAUGUUUCUGAUUUCAAGAAUUUGUGAAAAUUGAUCAGCAUGCACAUGAGGAAAACUUUAAUCAAGAGAAUAUUUUAUAUAAACAGAGUAAAUUGUUUAAUUUUAUCAAAGACGAAACAAAAUUAUUUUACUUGAAAAUGGUAAUUGGUUCUAACAAUCGGCAGAAGAGAAUGUCAAUUUAUUUUCUGCCAUCACCAUUAAUGUUGUCCAUCUCAGUAACUUGCCUAUUGCAUGAUACUUUCUUGUAAGUACCUGAUGAAGAAUAGGAUCUGUUUGUUUUACUGAAGAUGAAGUUCAGAUUGACAUAGAUUUUUUUAUGAAAAAAUAAUUUUCCUUCCGUUGUUUGUUUGCGUAGCUACGAAACUAAAGUUUUCCUAAUUUUAUUAUUUGUUCGGUAAAAAAAAGAAUGGUGUAAAAACUGAAGGCGUGAUAGAUGAUCAAUUAAUAUCUUAAUUGUUUUCACCUUUUUUUUUUUUCUGUAAUUGAUUUCAAUCUGUAUUUUGGAAACUUUUAGUUUGGAUCGAAUAUAAAACUAUGAUGAAAAUCAUCAAACAACAGAAACGGACAUUUAUGAUCGAAAAUCACUUUACCCCACUCCAUUUUGGUGAAACAAAUUUUAAGACAUUUUUUUUUUAUCCAAAAAGACUUAAAUUUUACAGUUUGGUACAGCUUUUCUGUGCAUUGUGGAGCCAAAGUGGUGGAGUCGAGCGCCAAAUUAAGUCCGACACGCGCCAUUGUCUCCUGCUAGUACAUUUGGAUCAAAGACCAGGUCGAAUUUCUAAACCAGAAGUUCAUUUGCACCCGGACAGGUUGGGUGGAACAUAUAAAAUUAGAUCCAUCUCGCAUGCAAUGACGCAAACAAAUAUAGUCAUAAUGAGCUAGUUUCAAUUAUUUAAUUGUACACAAUUUAGCGCUUAGUGACACUAAAAUGUUUUGCUUAUGUCUUAUGCCACAAAGUGUUGGUACUUAAGCUAAAGAUCUCCUUUGCGGAACCCAUUGAUGAAAAACCAAGCUCAUUAUUGUGUAUAUAUAUAUAUAUAUAUAUUAAUGUUCCCUCUUAAUUAAACAAUAGAGAGGUUACUAACUACAUGAUUCAAUAGUUAAAGCGCCGUAAUUUAAGGUGAACCAAUGAGAGUGAGGCACUUGUACAGAAAAAAAAGAGAAUAAUUCGACUUGCCAAAAGCAUUUUUUACCUUCUAUCACAAGUCAAAAGAUCAUGAAAAGAGUUAAAAUAUAUAUCUAAUUAUUCUUCCAUAAAUCGAGGUACAUGCAUUGUCUCCAUUUCUCACUAAACAAGAUUAACUAAAGUUAAUUAAUGAGUUAAAACCCCUACAAGGUGUGCAAACAAAAACCUCCAAAAAUGCGGAACUAGUUAAGAACCAAAAAAGAUGCUAGAUCACGGUUCAACUGGGGCUUGCCCAAUAGUUCAACCGAGCGAACAAGUGACAUAUAUCACCACAAUAUCAUAUAUAAAUAAUAAAUUAUUAAUUUUCUAUAUAUAAAAUUAUAGAGAUAAAUAAGAUAAAUAAAUAUAUUUUACAAAAAUUCUUCAAGAAAAUCUUAAUCAAAUUGAUUAAACAAUAUAUCCUACCGGCAAUCAUAUAUAGCUAGUAAGUGAUAGUCCAAACCGGUCUAAUUAAAUUCUGACCAAUUCACCAAUUUAUUGGUUGAACCAUCAGUUCAAAUAGGUCAAUAUGUGCUUUAAAAUUUCUGGUUUUGGAGUCAAACUGAACCAUCCUAGGGAUUAUCUCACGGUCCGACCGGUUCGAUUGGCCGGUUCAACCCAGUUUUAAAUUUUUAAUACGUGCACAAAACCUGCAGGGGAGAGAGCCAGAGUCCUAGAUAUUCUUGGAGAAGUUAUGUUUUUUUUUUUUUUUUUUUUUUUUUUUGAGAGAUAGGUAGCACGCUACCCGCUUCGUUUAUUUCAUUUAGAAAUAAACUUAGCUGGAAAUUUGAAUCAACUAGGAUUCGAACUUGGGUCUCGAGUACCAACCACCAAGCCCUUGGCCACUUGCUCUAGGGACGGUCGGUUUGGAGAAGUUGUGUUAAGGAGGAGAAAGAUAAAAUUAAGGCUAAAUUGCACUUUUGGUCCUCAAAUUAUGAGGCGGAAUAUAUUUUGGUCCUUAUAUUUUAUUUUAUUGUAAUUUCUAUCUAUUGCGAUUAUUAAAAUCAAGUCCCACAAUCUUAAUUAGUUAACUAUAUGACAAUAUGUUGGUGAUACGACAAUAAUAUAAUAUAUAUUAAUUAUUAUUUGCCAUAAAAUUCGUACGACAGUAUAACAUCAUUUCAAAUUUAGUAACAUCAUCAUUUAAAUAAUUAAAUUGUCCUGUAAAAAUAGAUUGCAAUAGUUUAGAAUGUGUGAGCCGGAAACUAUAAUAAAUUAAUAUUUCAUGAUCUAACAUAUCAUGCAUCUCAUAACUUAACAACCCAAAGUAUAAUUUAGUCGACAAUUAACCAUCAAACUGUUCGUAAGGAUCUUUGUAGCUUCCUAGCAAGAUAUCCACUUUGUGUGCUAUUUUUCAAUUAACUAUAUAGCCUGUUUGAGGAAUAAAGUAAUAAUUAUUGGUAACUAAUAAAGGUAAUGGAAAGCAAGCAUGUACUAUUGUUUAAAAUUAAGACCAGCCAAUGUGGACACACUACAUGGCAAUAGUUUUUACUAGAAAAAAUUAAUAAUAGUAGCUUAGUAGCAGUUCGACUGGUUUCUAAACUAGCAUUUCAACCUAGAAAAGCAACGAACAGGCAUAUAUUUGAUCUGCAUAUAUCAUAUAGAAAAGCCAAAAUAGUAGCUGAACUACAGUAAGAAGCUCUUCAAGAAUUCAUGAAAACGCAAAGGAGUUGUUAGCAUUUUCUUCAAACAACGAUAAUCAAACAGCAUUCCAAGUGUACGUACUUCAAAUAAUAAACUUAUUAUUAAAAACUUUAAUAGUGAAAAUUUUAAUAAUAAUUUUAGCUGGUGCUAAAAGCUAGUUAUGUAGUAGAAAAAAGUUUUUAGCAAAGCAAUUAAUAGGAAGGUGCAAUGUUCCAUCGCAAUGACUUUAACAAGAGAGAGGCAUUAUGUACCCUUCCCAUGCAUCAAGGAGCAAAAAGGACUAUGAUUAGAACUUAAGACAAGGAAGAUGGAAUAAUUGAGAUUUGUCAUGAUUAAGUAGCACGCUAAUGGUACGCUGAUGUGUCUGCAUGGGCCUCGAUCUGCAUGCAAUUGUAAUAGUACGCCUGGUGUCUGUGUGGGCCUUCCCAUGCUAUUUGCAAAGAAAGCAUAUAUAUAUAUAUAUAUAUAUAUAUAUAUAUAUAUAUAUAUAUAUAGAGUGCGGCUAGGGUGCUUUUGGAAGCACGGAGCGCUCCGUGCUUCCACUUUGUUUUCGAUGUUCGGACUUUCAAAUCGACGAUCGGCUCCGUUAGACUUGAUCUAGAGUAUUUGAAGUAUCUAGAAAAUAAAUUUUGCGAUUUUUCGAUAUCAUUUGCCUAGUGAUCGAAGUGGCUCAAAAUCAACGGCUGAAAAUAAAAAUCUCACAAAAUAUGAUGAUAUGACAUUAAAAUUUUAGAUCGAAGUUAUUGAUCUUGUUUUAUAUGGUAUAAAGAAUUUUCUAUCAAAAUUUCAUGUGAUUUGGAUAUUUCUACACCGUUAAACUUGCAACCGGCUCACCACGACCGUUAAAAUUAUUGAUUUUGAGCCCCUUCGAUCACUAGGCAAAUGAUAUCGAAAAAACGCAAAAUUUAUUUUCUAGGUACUUCAAAUACUCUAGAUCGACUCUAACGGAGCCGAUCGUCGAUUCGAAAGUCCGAACAUCGAAAACAACUUGGAAGCACGGAGGGCUCCGUGCUUCCAAAAGCAUACCAGCCCACUCUCUCUCUCUCUCUCUCUCUCUCUCUCUCUCUAUAUAUAUAUAUAUAUAUAUAUAUAUAUAGUAGGUCUUAUGUGCUAGGAGCACGGAGGCCUUCGUGCUCCUAAGUCGUUUUCGAUGAUGGAGCUUCCGAGUCGAAGAUCAAUUCCUUUAGGCUUGAUAUAGCGUAUUCGAAGUAUCUAGAAAAAAAAAUUUUGCGAUUUUUCGAUAUCAUUUACCUAGCAAUCGAAAGGUUCAGAAUCAACGGCUGAAAAUAAAAAUCUCACAACGAGUGGUGAUAUAGCACUAAAAUUUUCGAUCAGAGAUAUUGAUCUUGCAGUAAAUAGUAUAAAGAAUUUUCUAUCAAAAUUUCAUCUGAUUUGAAUACUUCUACAUUGUUAAACUUGCAAACUGUGAGAUCCCUAGUGUUCAGCUGUGGAGGCUUGCCGACAGCUCUGGAGAGUGUCGGGACAAGUCCGAGUCGCGUUGGCGUCAAAUAGACGCAAAACGGACUCGGUGCGACGCGAUGGCAGCUUGUAGCGAAGAAAUCUGCAAAACAGCAGAUUACUCUGCUUGCUGUACCGGUACAACCAACACGCUGUAGCGGUACAACCAGCGCGCACUGAUAUAGCUGUUCUCGGGUUGGCUCUUGUACCGGUACAGGAGCCCGUGUACCGGUACAAAGGAAAAGGGGGUAGGUAAAGGGUGGUUUGGUCUUUUUCCACCUCGUUCAUAUCACCCUUUCCCUCUCUCUCUAUUUAGGUCUGUGUAGAGCAGAGAGAGGGAGUUCUUUCUUCUUCUCCUCUCUCUCUAGCUGGGUUCUUGAGCACGGUGGAACUCGGGUGAAGCUUGGAUUCGUCGCCGACGUCGCGUCGUGGAGCCAUUCGAGCACACUUUCGACGUUGUGUUGCUGCGAGAAGGUCGGGCGAGUGUGGCUUUUCGCCAUCCUUGACGUCGUGCUGAUUCUAGGUACAUAUUGGGUAGCGCCCACGAGUGCCACUCCGGAGUCAGGCUUUGUGCUUUCGCGUUGGUGUCGCUCAUGCCAGUUGGACUUGCUCUCCACAGACCAGUUAGUGUGGAGGUAGCUGGACAGUCGCAACGGGGCAGGGACGGGUGUAUUCACAGUCCCAGGGACAGGUAUGUUUACAGUCCCGAUUGGAUUGGGUUAGAUUUGACAUUUCCUACAGUUGAUUAGUGUUGAGCAUGAUAGUGUAGUGAUCGAUAGCGGUAGAGUUUACUUCCUGCUUUUCCGACUACUCUUGCUCCUUUCUGUAGACUCAGUCAGUGGACCGAUGUUGUUUUGGGCGGUACCCACUGAGGACUACUUGUUUUUACAGUAGUUCUCACGCCCAGUUGUUACUCCUGUUUUGCAGAGCCACAGGUUUUGGCUGCUGCGCCUUCCGCGGACCAGGAUCGAGGCAAGGGCAUCGCGAGUUAGAGCCCUACCCGACGAGCUAAGCUAGAGGCACCCCUACUGCAGGUAGAUGUUUUGUCUGAGUUUAUGUACAUAGCUUACUUAACUCGCCAGUGCGAGUAACUCUGUAUUUUGGAUUUGGACAAUGUAUAUGAAACUCAGUUUGUUUAGCUUUUGUUUAUUUGAGCAGCUCUAUGCUACUGUUUGUAGUAUUGUAUAUCUACAGGUACAGCUGUCACUUCGUAUACAGGGGAAAAUUCCUUUGUAUACGGUGGAUUUGUCGGCGUGCCUGGGGAACGAGACAUCCGGGGCGUGACACAAACAAUAUACAUCAACUUUUAAAAGUCGUUGAUUUUGAACCCUUUCGAUUGCUAGAUAAAUGAUAUCGAAAAAUUGCAAAAUUUAUUUUCUAGAUACUUUAGAUACGUUACAUCAAGUCUAACGAAGCAGAUCGACGAUUCAGAAGCUCUAUCAUCAAAACAACUUAGGAGCACGGAGGCCUCCAUGCUCCUAAUAGCACACAAGACCUACUAUAUAUAUAUAUAUAUAUAUAUAUAUAUAUAUAUAACCACUCAAAGGACUGAGGAUUCCAAGAGUUUUGUAAAACGAUUUGGACUCUAGUGGUCUAUUGUACCACUUUCCCAACUCAUCUUUGAAAAAUUAAGGCGACAACUUUUACGCGUGAUCAAGAACUAGAAAUCAAAUGGCACAACAUGCAACCUUGUUAACAGCUAGCAUAUCCACAGCAGUAAGUAAGAUGGAAAUUAUAAGGUACCGAACUUCUGUUGUAAGGUACCGAACUUCUAAAAUUAUGAAGUNUAUAUAUAUAUAUAUAUAUAUAUAUAUAUAUAUAUAUAUAUAAUUGAGCUCCUAUGCUUUUAAAAGUACCAAGUUAUUGGUGCUUGUAGAUUUUUAGCUAUUGGAUUAAGAAAUAUGCGGUUAGGAUGAUGUGGGCACCCUAGGGUUGAGUGGGUGGUUGGUUGAAUAGUAUAAUCUAAUGGUUGAAAAUGAUCCGACAAGUAGAUCUAACGGUAAAAAACUUACAAGCACCAAGUGUUUGAUGCUUUUACAAGCACCAUAGCUGGACUAUAUAUAUAUAUAUAUAUAUAUAUAUAGUCAAAUUAUGGUACUUUUAUAAGCACCGCAUAUUUGGUGCUUACAAGUUUUCUAUCAUUAGAUUUAUCUCUUUAAUCAAUUUAAGCUCUUAGAUUAUAUUAUUUUACCAAUCACCCACUCAAUUCUAGAAGAUCUCGAUUAUCCUAACCCCACAAAUCUUCUUUCAAAGGCCGAAAAUUUAUAAGCACCACUGAUUUGAUGAUUUUAAAAGCAUGGGAGUCCAAUUCUCACACUCUCUCUCUCUCUCUCUCUCUCUAUACAUAUAAUCAUAUAUGUAUAUAUAUACAUUUAUACAUAUAUGUAGGGUUGAGUGGGUGGUUGGUUGAAUAGUAUGAUCUAACGAAUAAAAAUUGUCAAAAGAAUAGAUCUAACAGUAAAAAACUUACAAACAACAAAUACUUGUUGUUUUUAAAAACACCAUAGUCGAACUAUAUAUAUUAUUUGCUGUGAAAAUUAAUUUGACUAUACCAAAUUUCUAUUUGAAAGUCAGAAUAAGUUAUUUGGCAAGAAUUUUCUAUUGUGAAUAGAAAUCAGCAGAAUAACAAAGAUUAUAUUUUAAUGUCGAAAUAUGAUAUUCAGUAAUAACUCAUUCAGUAUUUUUAUUUUUUUGUGAUUGAAAGCUAGGAGUUUUAUUUUUUAUCCUUUAAAGAUUUUGGAUUGACAAUCUGUUAGGAUAGUAUAUUCCACCUAUAAGGUGAUUUAUCUUAUUCUGAAAAAAUAACUUAAAAAUUGAGUAUGUAUGAUACCUACUCUAGAUAUUUAAUCACCCUCCCUUUCUAUUAAGUAGUACAUGCUUCUAGAGUAAAUUUAAAACAUAUGGCAAAUAUGAUUAUGCAUCCAAAUAAAGCCUUAUAAGAUAUUCAAUAAUAACUUAUGCAGUAUGAAGCUUGUGCUACAUAAUGGAAGCAAAAGUAUUUUGUUCGUCGAAAGGUCUUAGCAUCCAUAAUUUGGCAAGAUAGUAUAUUUUUCCUAAAAGAUGACUUAUCAUAUUCCAAAAAAAUAAGUUAGAGAAUGAAUAUGUUAUCCAUUCUAGAUAUUUAGUUAUACUCAUCUAUCAAAUACUGUAUGCUUCUUGAGUAAACCGAAAAGAUGUACUGAAUAGGAUAUUCAUAUAUUUUAUUUUUUUGAAAUAAAAUAAAUAAUCUCACAGAUAAAGUUUCUUAUCCUAGCAAAUUAUGAAUGUCAGAUUCAUUUUAGGGCCAAAAAAUAAAGUUUACCUUCCAAUUACACAAAAAAAAUUUCAUGUGGAUUGAGUUAUCAUCAGAUAGCACAUUCCGUUACUCAAAGUAAAGCCUUAAAAAAACUUUAAAGCACUGUAUAAAAUUAACUAACCAAGAUUAGGGUAGCACGUGGAAUUAAUAUUAAGUGUGGUAGGGGUCAUGGAUAAACUAGGUAGCACGUGCCAUUGAUCCCUUAUGGAUGCAUGGUUAAAAAAAGGAAAACUUCAAAUACCCCCUUGUAGUUUCACUUUUUUUCACUUUAGUACCUUAUUGUUUAAAGUGUAUCAAGUUAGUGUCCUGUGGUUUCGCACUUUCUCACUUUAAUAUUCUGUGGUUUAAAGUGUAUCAAGUUAGUACCCUGUGAUUUCGCACUUUUUCACUUUAGUACCAUGUGGUUUAAUAUUUCACUAAGAAAAAAAUAAAAUCACAGGAUACUAACUUGAUAUAAAAAUAAAAUCACAGGAUACUAACACAUUUUAAACCACAUGGUACUAAAGUGAGAGAGUGCGAAACCAAAGGAUACUAACUUGAUACAUUUUAAACCACAGAGUACUAAAAUGAAAAAAUACGAAACCAUAAGGGGGGUUUUUGAAGUUUUCCCUUAAAAAAACAGGGCAAAAAGUGUGCUUAGUUAUUAGGCUUGGUGUUGUCAACUAAUCUGGAACAACUCUUUAGUGCUCUGCCGACAUAAGCUUUUAAUACACUAUGUUAAAAUAUUUAAGAGGUUUCGUGUAAAUUUUAUGAAAAUAUGUACAAAGGGCCCCGACGGAUUUCAUUACAAUUUUUAUCAGAAGUGCUGGGAUAUAGUGACAUUAUUUUUGCAAAGAGAUAUUUAAACCUUUAAUUUUAAUAGUCCAACUUGUAAACUUUAUUGAGUAAUUUAAUAGACCCCUGAUAUUAAUAGACCUCUUUUAUGAAUGAGACGACCUUAUUAAAAAUAAUUGAAAAUUUAGUUCCCAAAUAAUUUCAAUAGUGCAAAUGAAGUCUAACGGAGCCGAUCGUCGAUUUGAAAAUCACAUCAUUGAAAACAACUUAGUAACACUGAGGCCUUCGUGCUACCGAUAGUAUAUCAGCCUAGCUCUAUAUAGAGUUAGUACCAAGUGCUUUGUGCUAUUAGAUUUUCGGGCUUUUAAUAAAGAGGUGUGAAGUUAAGAUGAUUGCUGCCCCCUAAAAUUGAAUAGGCAGUUGGUUGAAUAGUAUGAUCUAGCAGGUGGAAAUGGUCAAGGGGUAGAUCUAACGACAGAAAGCUCGAUAGCACCAAGCAUUUGAUACUAUCGAUAGUAUAGUAGCCGGACUAUAUAUAUAUAUAUAUUCCGGCUACUAUACUCUUAUGAGCACGAUCGUAUUCGUACUCAUAAGUUGUUUUCGAUGAUAGAGCUUCCGUAUCGACGAUCCACACCGUUAAACGUUACCUAGAGUAUUUAAAACGUCUAGAAAUCAACUUUUAGAAUUUUUUAAUAUCAUUUACCUUACGAUCAAUAGCUCGCAAAAUUGAUAAUUUUUAACGGACGGUAUGUGAUACUUGCUAGUUUAACGGUGUAAAAGAAUCGGAAUAGCUUGAAAUUUUGAUAGAAAAUUCAAUUCAUUACCUAGAUAAAGAUCAGUAACCCCGAUCUUAAAUUGAAGGAUCCGAUCAUCUAUUUUUAGAACGUCGUUCGAUUUUGACCGUUCAUUUUAUAUCCGUUUGAUGGACUUUAUAAUGCUUUCGAAAAAUUACGAAAUUUAUUUUCUAGGAGUUUCAAAUACUCUAGAUCGUGUUUAACGGUGUGGAUGGUCGAUUCGGAAGCCCCAACAUCGAAAACUACUUAUGAGUACGAAGGGUUCUAUACUCAUAAGAGUAUUAUAGCCCUACUCUCUAUAUAUAUAUAUAUAUAUAUAUAUAUAUAUAUAUAUAUAUAUAUAUAUAUUAUAAUAUAUUUAUAUGCGGCCUCUGUCUCUCAAAGCAGCGGAGGCCUCUUUGUUGCUCUCUCAGCCGCUUCGAUGCUAUUUUGAAUCGAGUCCUCGAUCGCCUCCGUUAGAUUUAAUCUACACUCAUUUAAGUUUCUAAAAUAAAUUUUUGGCAAUUUUUGAUAUCCUUUGCCUAGUGAUGAAAGUUCAAAAUCUAUAUAUUUUUAAUGUUAUUUAUCUGCCUUUUUUCAGUUUAACGGUGCGGUAAUUUCAAUAUACAAAUUUUUGAUACAAAUUUUAUAUAUCUAACAAAUCAAUAUUUCUGAAUCGAUACAUUUAGUAUAUUCACUACUUCUAUAGGAUUUUUAUUUCAAAGCCAUUAAAAAUAGAUUUUGAAUCCUUUCGCUUGCUAAUAAUAUACAAAAUCGCAAAAUUAUUUUAGAAACUUCAAAUACGCCAGAAUCAAAGUUAACAGCCGAUCGUCGAUUCGCGAUAAUUCAUUAUCAUAAAACCUCGGGCCGCAUCGAUCCUCCGUGCUCCACUGAUAGCACAGCUCCUAUCUCUCUCUCUCUCCUCUCUCAAAAUUGAGCGAUACACUGAGAUUCACAUGCACGUAGAAAGUCGACCGCGAGGCCUAGUGCCUCUUGUUAAGCUUCUAUUCCCAAUUAAAAUUGUUAAUGUGAACUAUGGUACCCGAUCCCACCACAAAAUAUCGCUGAGAAAGAUCCAUGAGCCUCCCCCAUGAAGUCUCACAACUUCGUCGACUGUAUGCUGGCUAUCUUCUUUUCUAUCGUCCUCUCAGUUCCCCCACCAACGUAUUGAUCGAAGCAAAAUCAUCAGUGUGCCGAUUUGUCAACUCUCCGGCUCCAUAACCACUAUACAAUCGGUACAAUUCCACCUUGUGUACUACAGAUUUCACAGCUCGUCAGCAAAGCUUCGCAUUGCAAGUUUCCCCAUUGUUCCAGCUCUACAUGGCUUUCUCACGGUAGCUCUUGCAAUAUCCCGCUGCUCGAUCUCACUACAUCCUCUCUCAAUCGACGCCCUUAUACACAAUCUCUCUCUAAUAUAAUAACUAAUCAUUAUUAUUAUCAAUUAUUUUACUAUGUUGGCAGCUCACUGUGUGCUAAUUAAAAAGCAUGCUAGCCGGGCCACUCUUGUGCUCUCAGAAGCAGGAGCCUCUGUGCUCUCUCGAAGCGCGCUUUCGAUGAUAGAAUUUCGAAUCGACGAUCGGCUCCGUUAGAUUAUUAAUCUAGCAGCAUUUGAAGUUUCUAGAAAAUAAUAUUUUGCAAAUUUUUGAUAUCAUUGCCUAUGAUUCGAAAGUUUCAACCAUCUAUAAUUUUAAAUGAGUUGAUAUCUGCGUUUUCAAGUUAACGGUGUAAAAGCUAUUCAAAUCAGAUAAAUUUUGAACAAAAUUCUUGUGAUUACUAAUCUACAACAACAGAUCAAUAUUUCUGAUCGAAAUUUUAGUUGGCUAUCAUCACGCACUUUUUAUAGACGGAUUUUUUUUCAGCCAUUAAAAAUUAUUGAUUUGAAAUCUUUCGAUUGCUAGAUAAAAUGGAUAUCAAAAAAUCGCAAAAAUAUUUUUUAGGAAACUUUCAAAUACGCUAGAUCAAGUUUAACGGAGCCGAUUGUCGAUUCGAAAAUUCCAUUACAAAAGGACUCGGGGCACGAGCCUCCUGGCUCGCUGAGCAGCACCAGCAGUUCCUACUCUCUUCUCUCGGAGUCUCUCUCGGAUCAGGGUGACGUCUUCUCUCUCCUCGGUUCUCUCUCGCUCUGUCUCUCUCUCUCGUCUCGUCCUCGUCUCUUCUCUAAUAUAUAUAUAUAUAUUAUAUAUAUAUAAUAUAUAUAUAGCAGGGCUAUCUGUGACUAUUAGAAGCAAGCAGACUGUCUAAAUUUCUACCUACCCACUCAAGUUUACUGAGUUGUUAAAAUAAAGAUGAAAGAGAUAUUAGAGAGAAAUUCACGGAGAACGAGAAAUGAAAUACCAAAUUUCUCACCCCAUACUCUGCCCUCUUUCAUUUCGUAGUCCACCCAUCAAAAUUACGACGUUAGAAGUUAGAGCGCAAAAGCUGCUGUGUGCCGCUAAUAGACAGUAACCCGCUUAUAUAUGUAUGGAAGCGCAUAAAGUAGUUUGGUGCUUCCGAUAUUUUUUAAGCCGUUAGAUCAACCCUAUUGAUCAUUUCUAACCAUUAAUAUAAUAUUAUUAAACUUAUGUGGCCACUCAACUCUAGGGGGGCCACUCAACGCAAGGUGGACUCAACCAUAGAAUCUUUAAUCCACAGCAGUAAAAAUCGGAAGCCCAACCUUUAUACUCUUUCGAUAGAUAGUAGCUCUUCACUAUAUAUAUAUAUAUAUAAUAUAUAUUGUUGAGCUAGAAUACCGCUCAAAAAGCACCAGAAAAGUGGUGCUUUUGAGUUUUAGCCAUUAGAUAGAGAUGUAGGGUUUGAUGAUGUGUGGUAGGUGGUCGGUAGGUGGAAUAGUAUUUAAAUCCAAAACUAAUUAAUAAUAAGAAGUAGAUCCGAAGCUAGACAAACUUAGAAGCAGCAAGGGUUGGUGCUUCUAAAAAUAUUCUAGCUCAAUUAUAUACUAAUAUAUAAUAUAUAUAUAAUAUAUAUAAAGAGUGAGGUCUACCUAUGCUAUCGGAAAGCAGCGGAGCCUUCCGGUGCUUCCACUCGUUUUCGAUGUUGACGACUAUCGAAUCGUCGAUCGGGCUCCGUUAAAACUUGAUUAGAGUAUUGAGCAUACCUACCGAAAAUAAGAUUUUAUGAUUUUACGAUAUCAUUUGCCUACUGAACGACGGGCUCAAAUCAACGCGGCUGAAAAUAAAAAUCUUACAAAUUGUAAGUAAUUGACAGUAUAAAGUUAAAUCAAAGAUAUUGAUCUUGUUUUAUAUAGUAUAAAGAAUUUUCUAUCAAAAUUUCACGUGAUUUGGAUAUUUCUACACCGUUAAACUUGCAAACGGCACACUACGGCCAUUGAAAUUUGUUGAUUUUGAGCCCAUUCGAUCACUAGGCAAAUGAUAUCGAAAAAUAAUAAAAUUUAUUUUCUAGGUACUCCAAAUACUCUAGAUCAAGUUUAACGCAGCCGAUCGACGAUUCGAAAGUCACAACAUCGAAAACGAGCUGGAAGCACGGAAGGCUCCGUACUUUCGAUAGCAUAGUAGCCUCACUAUAUAUAUAUAUAUAUAUAUAUAUAUAUAUAUAUAUAAAGAGAGAGAGAGAGAGUAUGGCUACUAUGCUAUUAGGCGCACAGCAGUCCUUAUGCUUUUAAAUUCGUAAUCAUUCAUCAAUUUUGAUAGAUGAUUUGAGUGAGAAAGAAAAGAGAAAUUCGAAAAGAAGAGAUAUUGAAAAAAAAAUCCAAAAAGAAGAAAAAUUGAGGGAGAAAUAAGAGAAACGGGUUAUUAAAACUAAUUAUCCAUCAAAAUUGAUUAGUGAUUAUGAACUUAAGAGUACAAGAACUAUUGUGCUCCUAAUAUUACAGUAGCCUUGCUCGCUCUCUCUCUAUAUAUAUGCUAUUCUAACACAUUAAAAAUUCAAUAAAAAUUAAAAUUAAAUUUAUACAUUCUUCAAUUCCAAUGCUUGAUUACUAUAAUUAGAAAAGAUAAAAUAGAUUUCUUUAUGUAAAGGUAUGCAAAAGUAAGUGCAAAAUAGACAAUCAAAACAGAUGUUCAAUUAAUAAUUUUCCUAUAGAAAAGUGGCCUAUUAAAUUAUUAAAAAUUUAAAAGGUUUAAUUGUUAAAAUUAAAAAUUCAAACGCUCAUUAGCGAAAGUGCUAAAGCUUAGGAGAUCUUUGAACACUUUUUCUCCCUGUUAACACUUGCUUGAUACGGAGGGUUGUCUAAUACUAAUAUACUAUUAAAAAAGUAGAGCAAAAAAAAUUUUUUUUUUUUUGGUGGGACUUUAGAACACAUAUGUUUGCUAAUUUUUUGCUAUAUAUAUAUAACACGUGAUAUUAAUUGAGUAGAGAAUAUUGUUGAUUUAACCUACCUACCAAACAUUUUUCGUACCUGAUUUGUAGUACAUUGUAGUUUCGUUAGGUUCAAUAUGCCAAAUCUAAUUAAGUACCUAUCAACAAUAAUUUCUAUUCUAAUCAAAAUAUUAAAAAUCAUGCUUCAAGUUGCCACAUCGAUAUCUUCAGGUGAGUAGUACUUAAGAGUGACAGGUAAACCAAAUUCAACCAUGAAUUUCGGUAUGUGGACCUAUCAAAAAUCCUACACAUUCAAAGGCUAUCAUGUUUGACAAUCUUAUUAACUUUUUAACUUUAAUACCAAAAAACUAAAAAACCAAUGUUAUCAAUAUACAAAAAGUUCAGGAACCUUUUUUCAAAAUAACCUUAUAUAUUUUAUAAUUGACUAAAUAACUCAAAAUUUAUUUGGCCAAAUAAUUUUUCUUUUGCAUGGCAGUUAAGCGCCACAGUGGAUGUGCCAAGCAGUACGUGAAUUUUUCGACGUAUUCAAGAAGGCAGUGAACGAUUUACGGCUGUGAGACCCCAGAUAGUCAUAUAUAUGAGAUAUAAUAUGGCUAAACUCUUAACCCGGCUUAAGCAUUUUGGGUGGUGGCAAGGCCCAAGAGGUUAAGAGAGUUAAGCGUGCUAGGACGGGAGCAGUCCUAGAAUGGGUAACCCCCUGGGAAGUUGGGGUGUCACAACGGCCUUCUAAAUUUUGUACGAAAAACGGUAAAUCGUUCGCUACUUUUCUAAAACGGUAAACACUUCACCAAUUCUCAGUUCUAAGUUUUACUUUAUAUUUGAAAUCAAAUAUCAAAUUCAAAUUUAUAUGUUUAAUUCAAAUUUAAAAUUUUAAUUCAAAUCUUUGAAUUUGAUUUUAGUUUCAAAUUUAUAUUUUGAUUUAAAAUAUCAAUUCAAGUUCACAUUCAGAUUUUAAAUUCAAAAUUUUAGUUUAAAUUUUAAAUUUUAAUUUUGAAUUCAAAUUUUAAAAGUUAAAAUUAAAAUUAAAAUUAAAAUUCAGAUUUUGAAUUCAUAUUUUUAAAUUCAAAGUCAGAUUUGAUUUGGAAUAUCAAUUCAAAUUCACAUUUAGAUUUUGAAUUAAUGAUUUCAAAUUGAAAUUUAGAUUCUAAUUUUUGAAUUCAAAUUUUGAAAUAUAAUUCACAUUUUGAAUAUAAAUUAUAAGUUUAAAUUUAGAUUUUGAAUACAAAUUCAAAUAUCAAAAUCAAAAUCCAAUUUCAAUUUCAAAGUCAAAAUUCAAAAUUUGAAUCUCAAUUCAAUUUCUAAUCCAGUUUUAAAAUUGUAUCUUUCAAUUCAAAUUCAAAAUUCUAAUUUCAAAUUCUUAGUUUAAAAUUAAAAUUUUAAUUUUAUUUGAGAAUUUGAAUCUAAAAAGCGGCGUUUAGGGUUUAGGGUAUCCACUUAAAAGUGGUGAAUUAUUCACCGUUUCACGAAGUUGGUAAACGAUUUAUCACUUUCGUAAGAAAUUUAGAAGGUGGUGAAUAUACUUAUCAAAUUCAUUCACCACAUUCUUAAAUACUGUGAACGAUUCACCGCUUUUAAUAUAUUUAUCCAAUACCAUGCCGAGUUGGCAACCAAAAGAGUAUUUAGCCAAAUAAAUUUUUUAGAAGGUUAUUUAGUUAAUUAUAAAAUUUUAUACAGUUAUUUGGAAAAAAAAAAGGACCAAAGUUAGAAUGUUAAUUUUACACUCUACUAAUCAUAUGUAAAGGUCCACACUAUGUACUAAUAUUGUUUUUUUUUUUUUGGGUACAAAAGCUCAAAAGAAUGUUAUAAAUCCUGGAAUGGUGGGUCUAAGAUAUGGAACCUAAUUAUACAUAGCAUUAUUCUUUCAGUUUUAGUUUGAAAAAUAAAAUUUUGGUUAUUUCAUGAAGGAACUCCCUAGUUAACAAUCGGCUCUCGCAAACUUGAUUUAGAGUAGUUAAAAUUUUUAAUAUUCAAAUCUAAUAAGUUACAGAUAUUAUUUAACUAAUAAUUGAAAUUAAUGGCACAAAAUUGACAAUUUUAAUAAUCAAUAUGAAUCAUUAAUUUGCAUGCUUAACAGUAUAAAAAUUACACUCUUUAAAUGAAAGUUUUACCAUUUGAAAAAUAGUUAUACUAUUUCUCCCCCAACGAGCACCCUUUGAGAUGAAAAUUAUAAUUUUCAAAUGAAAAUUACACUAUUUGGGAGCUAAUUACACUAUUUUCCUUCCAAAUAGUAUAAUUUACGUUUAAAGAAUGUAAUUUUCAUCUUAAAGAGUACAAUUUAUAUCUCAAAAAAUACAAAUUAUAACUAUAAUAGUGCAACAUUUUUCUAAGGGAUAAUUGCCUCUAUACCCCUCAAAACUUCGAAAAUAUCUCAUUUACCCCUACUUUUUUUUUCUUACCAAUAUACCCCUCAUAUAUACCCCCGUUAUUCCAAAAUAUCCCUGCAGUUACCACCUGUUACGUUAACUUGAAUUAAACGUGAGUUAAAUAUCUAUCACAGUUAAAAAAAAAAUAAAAUACUACUUCUGUCCUUAACUUAGGGGCAAAUAAGAAAUAUUGGUGAUGAUAGAAGGGUAUAUUUGAAAAGACCAAAAAGUAAAAUAUUUUUUGUGCCCCUAACUUAAUGGCAAAUAAGAAAAGUCGGUGAUGGUAGAAGAGUAUAUUUGAAAGGGCAAAAUGGUAAUUUCAUAGAGAUAACAGAGUUCAUUAACAGAUUUUAACUUUAGGGGUAUAUUAGAAAUAGGUUGGAACGUAAAAAGGGUAUUUUCCAUAUUAGCCUUUAAGAGGGGUAAAUCAGAAUGUCAGAAACUUUUCAGGGGUAUAUAAGCAAUUGCCCUUUUUUCUAAAAGAGCGUAACUUUAUUUUAAUAGUGCAACUUUAUCUUCUUCUUCCUUCUUCUCUAGUUCUUCUUCCUUACUCUCUAGGUUUUUAUUUUUAGUUAGUUUUUUUCAUUUUAAGCAAACAAAAAUACUUGACCAGAAAUGCUCCCGUGCACUCCCCGCCUUCGAUACUGCCGAGGCCACGCUCGUUGCUACUCUCUAGGACGCCGUGCUCACCGCCGCCCCGCCCUCUUUUCUGAUGUCGUCAUGCUCUCCUCUGUUUCCACCUCGCUCGUCGUUGGCCGUGGAUGGGCGCGGUGGGUCGUGUGUCCCCUCCCUCGCCAGCGAAUAUUUUGGCGCCGAGAAACGUUUCCUUUUCAUUGUCGUCAGCGGCGAUAAGGACAGCGAGUUCGUAGAAAUAGAUUUGGUGGGUGAAAAAUCUGCUGCAAUGGAGGUGGAGGUGAGUCGCAAAGGAUCACGGAGGUGGUGGAGGUUUGGCUAGAAAAAAAAAAAAAAAAAAAAAAAAAAAAGAUGAUCAUGGCGUAGCCUUGGUAGGGUUGGAGGCGAGGAGAGCGGGGGGUGAGCGAGCGCGGUCGAGGGCGCAUGGGGUGGAGGUGAGGAGGGGCGUCCCAAAGGGCGGCGGCGAGCACAGCCUUGGUGGGGUCGGAAGCGAGGAGGGCAUGUGGUGCGCGGACAAGGGCGAGGGCGAGGGCGAGGGCUCUCCGCCUCUCUCUUCCGAGAGGAAAAAAAAAUGAAAGAAAAAAAAAAGAAGAGAGAAAGGAAUAAGUGUAUUUUAGUCCAUUUUUGAAAAAUUCGAUCCGAAUUUGCAAAAUUGAAAAAGACGACUCAAUUUUACAAAAGCUCAAAACUUGUGAAUUUUUUAUGCAAAUUGGCCAUAUUUAAUACUAAACUACCACCUAACUUACAAAGCCAAACAGAAAGCCAACAUAAAAUAUGAAACAGUUCAACCAAUGAAAAACUAUACAAAUCAUGUUAAGGAUCUAAGUUUUCGUCUACACUAUACUUUAAUAUUAUUGUUAUUUAUUAUAUUUUUCUUAGGGUUAUUUGCAUACACGUCCCUGCAAACAUAGUGAAUUGCGAAAAUAUUCCUGCAAAACAGAAAUUCCAUAAGUUGUCCUUACAAAAGUCAUAAGUUAUGCAGAUAUGUAUCUCUGGUUAACAUCCGUUAGUGAACUAUUUAUUUUUUAAUAGUUUUAUUGUGAAAUGACCUUUUUGCCCUCACAAAUAUAUCCCUCCAAAAAUAUUCCUCUUCCCCUUCUCUUUUCCUUCCUCUUUGGGCUGCCGGAGCGGACGACGGUGGCGGCGCGAGGUCGGGUUCGCCAAUGACGAAGAAGAGGGAAGUGAAAGAAAGAGAGGAAGAAGAAGAGGGAAGAAGAAGAAGGAGAGGAAGAGGGAAGAGAAAGAUGAAGAGUGGGAGGGUUCGCCGCCGCGCGCCGUCGCCGCAUCUCCUCCCUCGGCGGCGACGAAGAAGAGGGAAUAGAUAGAGGAAGAGGAAGAAGAAGGGCGAAGAGGAAGAGGGAGAGGAAAAGGAAGAGGGAAAGGGCUCGCGGCCGCCGCCGCAUCUUCUCCCUUGCCGGCGACGAAGAAGAGGGAAAAAGAAGAGGGAGAGGAAGAAAAAGGGGAAGAGGAAGAGGGAGAGGAAAAGAGAAGAGAGAAGAGGAAGAGGGAGAGGGUUCGCUGCCGUCGCCGCCGCCGCCGCCACCGCUGUAUCUCCUCCCUCGCCAGCGACGAAGAAGAUGGAAGAGAAAGAGGAGGAAGAAGAAGAAGGGUAAAACUGUCAAUUCAUAAUUUAAUUAACUAUGGUUAAGUAUUUUAACCGUGGUUAAUAUAAUUUUUCUAACAAACCUUAAUGGUAGGAACAUAUCUGCAUAACUUAGGUCUUUUGCAGGGACAAUUUAUGCAAUUUCCGUUUUGCAGAGAUAUUUUCGCAAUUCACUAUGUUUGUAGGGACGUAUAUGCAAAUAACCUUUUUUUUUUAAUAGCGCCAUUGUAUUAUUAUAUUUUAUUAAUUUCUACAUUAUAUUUUAAAAUUAUUUUCGUUUUUGUAUCCUAUAAUAUUUUAGUUUGGAUUUUUUUUCGUUGAUUCUGUUUUAAUUUAGCUUGUAACCUAAAUCAAAUAAAUUAAAACAUGCAUAUCCCUAGUUCUAAAUAACUGCUGACACCAAAUAGAUUUCCCUAGUGACAACAAGAUUGCGAGCCCAACUCUUAAAGUACACGUGUCCUCGCUUAUGAAGAUCACAUUUAUUGGUGAGUAGCUCCCAGCCCCAAAUUUAUUUCAUGACAAAAACGUUUCUUGAACUUUGGAUUAAUUAAUUCGAUAAUAUCGCAUAAAGCUUCAUUUAGUGACAUAUUAUAAGCACCGACAUUGACCUACGAAAAAACGUUACCACUGUAAAAGGACUAAAACGACCUGUGAAGUUGUUUAAUUAUAUAUGUUAAUUUUAAAGGGCAAAAUUAUCACUCUGCAACAUUAAUAGAAACAGCGUGAUAUUAAAAAAAAAAAGAAAAUCAUAUAUCCACAUGGACACCCACCUUAGCAAGUUAAUUAUCUCCAGUCAUUAAAAUUUAAAAGUUAAACAGAUAAUAUCUUUUUUUACAUUGAGUUUUUCCUUUUUUUUUUCGAACUCUAUCCUACAUGUAUUUUAUCUUGAACUUUCUUAAUUUUACAAUUGUAUUUUAAUUAAGUUUUUAUCACCACAAGUCUAUUAAAUCAUAUAUAGAAAUUGCAACGUGGCCUAGUUUGAUGUUGCUACAUUAAAUGUUGUCUAAUUGCCUCUAAUAUAAGUAAUUUCUGGUAAAUUUAAAAACUUGUUGGUUAUAUAAAUUCACCUAAUAUGAUUAGUAUAUAUGUUAAGAGAGUUGGACUGGGCUACUAUCGAUAGUGAAUGAUAAAUGAUUUGGUUUGGUAUCGAUUUAUUUUCGAUGAUAGAAUUUGCAAAUCAAUGACCGGCAUCAUUGAAUAUGACCCAGACUAUGUAAACUAUUUAGAAAUCAAAUUUCAUACUUUUUUCAAUAUUACUAACCGAAUGAUCAAAAUGUCACAAAAUUUAUAAUUUUUCUUUUUUUUGAGAGAGAUAGGGAGCAUACUACCUGCUUCGUUUAUUUUAUUUAGAAAUAAACUUAGCUGGAAAUGUGAAUCAACUAGGAUUCGAACUUAGGUCUCGGGUACCAACCACAAAGCCCUUUGCUACUUGCUCUAGGGACGGUCGGUACAAAAUUUGUAAUUUGAAUGGCCAAUAAAGUGUGUUUGCUUGUUUAACGGUGUAGAAGAGUUCAAAUCAGCUGAAUUUCUAUCGAAUUUUUUUUAAAACUAUUUAAAGCAAGAUUUAGACUUUAGAUCUUAAAUAAAAAAAAUUAUAUCAACAUUUUUUAAAGAAUAUUUAUUUUCAGCCGUUCAUUUUAUGUUUAUUUCAUAGACAAGAGAACAAUAUCGAAAAAGUAUAAAUUUAAUUUUCAGAUAGUUUAAAUUAUUCUAGAUCGUGGUCAACGGAGUCGAUCGGCGAUUUGAGAGCUCUAUCGUCGAAAAUAAAUCAGUAGUAAAUUGAUAUGCUUACUACCGAUAAUAUUUUAGUAGAACUCAUAUUAAGAAUUAAACUAAAAGACAACCCCUAACAUAAGUGGCAAAAGAUUUGGUGGCUGGUACCCGAGAUUCCAAAUUUGAAGUCUAAUUGCUUCACAUUUCCAGCUAAGUUUAUUUCUAAAAAAAUAAACGAAACGGAUAUCAUGCCAUCUUUUUCUAAAAAAAAAGAAUUAACCAUAAAAAGUUAA